AGAACCCCCUACCUUCUCAGGCCUCCGAGACUCAGCAUUCAUUGCCAUCCCUUGCCUGAGCCGUGCCUCUUCUCUUUCUCUCUCUCUCUCUUCGGAUUCCGACGAAACUCUCGUUGUAUUCAUUCGCCGGAAUCCCGAAAAUGGAGAUGCGAAAGAUAACAUGCGCUGCCCUCAUUGUGGCCGCCGCCACUCUGAGCGUCGCCACCGCCCAUGGGCAUGAGGCCCCGGCACCCGCCCCUGCCAUGCACAACGAUGCCGCCCCCAUCGCCACCUCUCUCAUCGGAGCCUCUCUCCUCUCUCUCCUCGCUUUCCUUAUGAACUAGGAAAAUUCCUCUAGAGAGGAAAAAAUAAAGAGACAAAUGAAACUUUUGGUAGAGUUUGAAGAACCUCUAGAGAGGGAAGAUAAUGAAACAAGGGUUUCUUUUGUUGAGUUUUAAUGCCCUCUAGAAAGGGGACAUAAGGUAGAUGGGCUUUUGGAAGCCUUGGAGAAAAGGGAAUCAUGGUGGAUUAUUACGGUGAGAUGGCCUUUUAUUUAUUUCCUUUGUUUUUGUUGUUUUUUUUUUUUUUUUUUUGGGUGGUGGCAUUCUUGAGUUUGUUGUUUUGUUAUUGUUUUCAUUUUUUGGUGGGUGAAAAUGGAGGGGCAGUACAAGUUUGAUGUGGAAGGUGUGGGUGUGAGGGAUGUGAAUGCAAUAAUGAAACUCUGAUUGUAACCUUAAUAUUAUUUUAAUUAUUUCUCGGAAUGUUUAUGUUGCUUAAACUUUCCUCCGGAUUGCUCUGUUUUUUGUUUGGAAAAUGGAAGAAAUUAAAUCUUCCAAGUAGAAAUGCUCAUUAUUUUGGGAGAAAUAUCUAAGGUUUUUUUUUUUUAGCUAAAUGAGGCGUUCGCGCUAACCGUUGUUUGUUGCUUUAUAAUUGAUUUCUCUUUCCCUAUAAUGUGGUCUACAUAGACUGUAGGAGGUUAUCACGGUCCCAUCAAUGUGUUUUACCGUGAUGGAGGGAUUUAGUCCUGCCCAAAAAAUCAUCUAUUCCAUUAUCUCCUUGCAUCUGUGUCGAAUACAUUUGAUCCACACUGAUAAACCGGAGGUGAUUGUUGUUAAUUUGUUAGGGAAAGUAUAUAAUAAGACCAUUUUUUUUUGAUAUAAGGUGGUCACAAUUGAUCACGACUACUGGAUGUGAUAUUGUAUAGUUGCAGUUAUUUUAUUGAUCAAGCUCAAAAUUCAAAAGAAAUUUUUUCGAACUUUAUAACACAUCCAAGCUAUCAGAUUUUAUAUUGGAUAUAUCGGAUAGUUAUAAGUAAUUGUGACCUUCACGUAUGAAAGAUAAAUAGUUUCAUUAUAUACAAUACCAACUCAUUAUAACGUUUGUGGCUUUAAUUGGAAGAAUGUUAAGCUAAGGAUUUCAUCGAAAUAUUUUUCUAUAUAAAUACAAGAAAUAGAUAUGUGAACUGGUCAAGGUCAAGGACAACAACUUUUUGUGGAAUCGGUCAGAACAUUGAAAUCUUCAAUAAAUAAAGAAAAUAGAAGAUCGGUUUGGUGGAUAAUUUUACGGUCUUUAAAUAAAGUAAAUACUAGAUUUUUUAGAACAAUGUAAGUGUUAGAGAUUUCAUAAUAAAAUAAGUAAUGAUCUUAUGAGACUCUCCCAUACCCAUAUGUAUAGGAUUUCAAAAGAUCACCUUUAAAUUAGAUACGGAUCUCUAAAAAAAAGGUUAUUACAUGAGUGUGAGACUUGUUUUUUUUAAAGAUAUGUAUAAAAUUUAAUGGUGAUCCUUUAAGGUCCAAUAUACAUAAAUGUGGAAGAAUUAUUACUCAUAAAAUAUUAUAUAUACAUGACAUAUGAGAAUGUCUCCCCGAAGAUAAACGCCACAAAAUGUUUAGUUGUUGAGCUGGCAGGUGUUAUUGAUCUUAGAAAAAUCUGUCAAAAUACUUGUAGAAGAUGGGUGUUAUUGAUCUUAGAAAAAUCUGUCAAAAUACCUGUAGAAGAUGAACUAUCCAAUGUCAUACUCAAUUGCAACUAUUCUUAACUCAAGAUCAUGUUUUUCUAUAAACAUUUUGAAAUAAAAAACCGAGAUAAUAUUUCAAAAGGAAAAAACGAACCUGCAUAGGGGAUGUACUUCUACAAUGGUUCCCUGCCACACCUAAACAUCCAUAUUGGAGAUGGAUGUCAUUAGUGGUGGCCCCACAUAAAUUCAUGAUUAAACAUGUUAAAACGGCAUUAAAAAAAUAUUAUUUUUAUUUUUAAAUUAUUUUUUUUCAAUUUGAUAUUAAUCAUAAAUUAGAUUUUCACUUAAAAAUUGUAUAUCUAUAAUGUAUCUUUAAAAUAGAUUUUGGACUCAUUUAAAUAGUUGAGGGCAGUGACUCUUGGGUAGCAAUGGACCCAGACCCGAGGUGUAAACCCGAUUCAGGUCUAGGCAUGAGGUCCAAAAAUUGGACCCAGACCCGAGGCGUAAACCUGAUUCAGGUCUAGGCAUGGGGUCCAAAAAUUGGACCCGACAAGCUGGGUCCCGAUCUAAUUCUUAGACCCAAAUACUAUUUGGGUUUAGGUCUGAAUCUGAUAAUAUUUUUCACGUCUCAAUAUAUGAAAUAUAUCUAUAGUUAAAUAUAUGAAUAUUCUAAUUUUUAGGUCAGUUUUUUAUGUAGUUUAGAUCCACUCUAUAUUUUCGGAUAUGAGUUCAGAUCUUGAUCCAAGUCCCCCAUUAUUUUUCGAGUCCGAUUUGGAUGGGCCCAAACCCUGAACCGACCCGACCCGACCCGACCCGACCAAUCGCCAUCCCUAUCCCUGCAAGACAUUGCCCACCUCGAAAACCAGUGAAAAUUCGGCGCCUUAUAGCUCCAAUGAGAAAAAGCCACUUAGCGCCACGUAAUAGACACGUGUCGAUUGAACCGAGCGUCUCCAACGGUAUAUGUGAACUUCACUCGGAGAAGGUGAAAGCAGUCCCUCUCUCUAAACCUGGGUUUUCAGUUCAGCGGAAACUCUCUCAAUUAUCACUGGUAUUGUCGUAGGGCCUCUCUCUCUCUCUAAGGUAUUGAGCUAUGGCGUUUGAGAAGCCUUACGUUUUGGCUGCUCUUGUUGUAAUGGUGGCAUUCGGCAUGGGAAUGGCGAAGGCAGAGGAGGAAGCCAUGGCCCCUUCUCCGGCCAUGGAGAGCGGAUCGGCGUUCAUUUUGCCUGCCCUUGUCGCUUCUUUUUGUGCUUCGUUCCUCUCGCUCUUUACUGUCUUCUCUCACUAGACCUACUUUCACCGGUGGAUUUGUGUUUCAUUCAUGUGAGUUCCGGAUUUUUAUGUAAUAUGAGUUAUAUCAUGAAUAUGUCUUAGGUUUUCUUCUGUUGGAUAUCAUCAUAUCACUUUUUUGUGGCUUUUUUUUCACUAUUUGAGAUCGGCUCAUUUUUUUUGUUGCUGUGUAUUUAUUAUUUUUGAUUUUAUGAGGCAAAUGCUGCGUAUAUUGGACAGAUCUAUCAGACCACCCCUAGCCGAUGUGAUCGUGCAAAAACCUUAAAAACAGUAAAAUAAAAAACAUCAUAUUGUACAAAAAAAAUUUUGUUUACCUUGAAGAAUCAUAAGAACGUUUGAUUCACUGUAAUAUACUCACGUUUCGUCAAUUUCAAUGACUUUGUUUUUGUUUGAAACUUGUUAAAAUUUGACCAUUUUGUUUCCCUUUUCAAGAUCUGUUUACGAAGUUUCAACUUAUUGAUUCGGAACUAACCCUAGAUCCUGACCCUUAAUCAAUGAAUCAAUAUUUGUUUGAGCUUCAUCAUGUAUUACUUAUUAAUUUGCAACUCACCAAGAGCGGAUUUAACUCAAUACGAGUGGAUUCUAUCCAAUAGAACAAAGGAUGUUGAGUCUAGAGUUUAUUCAUUCAUGUAUAAAAUGGUGGAUUAAGGCACAACUAAUCAUAUGCAGUUCAAGUCGCACGUUGCUUUCUACCACAUCGUUUAAAGAAGUUUUAUCAUUACCUACCUGAUCUUAAUUUUAGAACUGGUAUGAAAUUUUGAUUCAAUUUCAAUAUGGAAUUAAGAAUAGUCAUUGAUUGAAUUGGUUUGGUACUUUAUAGUUUUUAUUACACCUAUAUAUUUAUCCAUAGACAUGGAUAGGUACUGAAAGUAUCAAUAAGGAUUCAAUUUGACCUACACGGUUAUAUCGUGCUAAUGAAAUUUUUUCCAUAAAAUAAAAAAAUAAAUCAAAGAUUUAUGACAUGAGAUAAACGGUUUUGCUGUGUGAAGGAAAAUUUUUUUAUAAAAUAAAAAAAUAAAUAAAAAUUUAUGAUAUGAGAUAAACGAGUUGUUUUAACUUUUUGUUUUUACUUUUAAAAACAAUAAAAUAAAAAAACUCAAAAACAAUAAAAUAAAAAACCAAUCACUAUUACAGAUAAAAACAAUGAACUAAAAAAUCUCAUAAACGAAUAAAAUAAAAAACCAAUCAAUAUUACAGACAUCGGACCACGUGAUUCUCUGGUGGUUUUCAAUUCAAAGGAGAUCUUCCCAUGUGAGUCUUUGGUUUGAUGGAGCAAGUGUACAGUAUAUUCUCAUGGGAGCAUAUUAUAUGGUAAUUCUCCGGUGAUUCUCAAAAUUUCAAUUGGAAAGAGAUCCUCUUUUAAGCAAUAUUUCAUUCGAGAGAUGAAGGUCACUUGCGCAUGGCAUGCUGUUUAGUAUUCUUGGUUUUUAAUUGCGGGAUGGCUCUAUCAGUAGCUACAGUUGGCAUGCUAAACCGUCCGGUUUCAGUAGUUUUUUUUUUUUUUUGUCAGCUCAUGAUUUGGCUCAAUUGCCCUAUAGGACUGUAACACUAUGAUUUUAUAGAUUUUAUGAUUUGUAACUUGUUUAUUUUUAAUUAAUGAAUAUGAUUUUAUAGAUUUUAUGAUUUGUAAAAUCAUAAAACGGUAACAGUAUAAUUUAUAUUAACAAUUAAUGUGGCUCAAUUGCUCUAUGAUAAGACGGUAACAAUAUGAUUUAUAUCUUUUUUAUUUUUAGGUAAUGAAAAACGGGUAUGCUGUUUGGUAUGCUAGGCUGCCGGAUUCUAUUUCUCUGUCUUUAACUCAUGAUUUGGCUCAAUUCUUUCAACUCAUGAUUUGGCUCAAUUGUCCUAUGACAAGAUUGUAACACUAUGAAUUGUAUCAUCUCUAUUUUUAGUUAAUGGAAAGCGGGACCUAAUGACUUACCCCAAAAAAGAGAGGAAGUGUUGUUUAAUCUUGAUCCUCUUCCCUCUCUCUCAAGCUCUAUUCCAUCCGAAUCUUCUAGAUUUCUUUGCGUCUUUCUCUACAGUAGUGCAUUUUUCAGUUUCUAGGCUAAAGUGAAAGAUAGACCUGUGUCGAUAAGUGCCUGCCAUGGAUCGCGCUUUUUGGGUCAAAAUACGAACCAUGGUCAGGAAAACCAGAGGAAAAAUCGGUCAUGGCCCUAGUGUUGAUUUAGUGUUUCGGUGGGAUAUAUGGUUAAAUCUUGGUACAAUGAGUUGAAAUUUUGGUAAAAAAUCCGGAUCCAACAUGAAUCUUCCCAAACUCGGCCAUGAAUCGACCAGCGUUCCCAAACUUGGCCAGGAACCGGCCGGUUAAACCAGAAUCGGGCAUUGACCAAUCCGAUUUUUUCUGUCUUUGGAGGUGGCUAUUUUAAAAAAAGAAUCUAAAAAUAAAAAUAAAAUCCAAAAAAUAAGGGAUUUGUUUGUAACGUGUGAAAUAUUUUUUUUUUAUUUUUUCAAAUAUUAGACAGUGUUUUGAUCAUAAAUAUUUAUUUUAAAAAUUUAUUAUUUUUAUUGGAAAUUUUGAAAAUACCCCUCAAUAUAAUUUUUUUUUUUACCAUUUUUCAAUUUCAUUUAGAUGUGUUUUGUUUAAUCAUGUUUUAAAUAGAAUUUCAUAUUUUUUUUAGUUUUUUUUGUAUUUUUUUUUAACAUUUUUUAAACUGGCUGGGACCUACCGGUUAAGCCAAUUGAACCGGCCAGUUUAGCAAUUUCUCAAAUUUCAAAACUGGUUUAAUUUUUUAAACAGAUGACCAUCGCUAUUAUCGUCUCUCUCUCUCAAAUCUAGACCGCCACCUACGGUAUGCUUUUGCCACGUCUAGACCGUUACCUACACUAUUUUCUCUUCUUUCAAACUCAAAGCCAACGAAUUCAUCUUUUCUUCUUCUCUACGGUUCUAAGCCAGCCAAUCAAAAAAUUCUAUGCUUCUCAAGGACCCCUCGCGUGCGGAGGAAUCCCAAAAGGCGGGAUCCUAUUUAAAAUCAUGUAUGUGAUUUGCUAAAUGUGAAGUAAAUGAAUAUAGCUAUAAAUCGAGUACGAGAAAUAAAGUAAACAUAAAAAUCAUACCACAACAUACAAUUUAAGUGGUUCAUCUUAUAAAGCUACAUCCAUGGUAUAGAAAAAGUCGAAAUCUACUAUCACAAUAAAGUGUACAUUUUUUGGUUACAAGAGAUAAUACCAUUUUUAAACAUCGGUAAAAGACCAUCAUCGAUCUUCCCUUCUAAACUUGCUCUCUCAAAUGAGCAACACCGUCGAUUAAUAUCUAAUUUCUCACCAUUAUACCGUUAUUGGAAAGAUAACUUCGAAAGCAACUAAAAGAUUCUCUCUCUAAAAGUGAAAACAAAACAACUCAAAAUUCUAGGGGAGUACUAUAUCUUUCUUGGAGGUCAUGUCUCUCUUUCUUGGAGACCUGUCUUUUCUAUGAAGAUCUAUUUCCAUAACUACCAAAUGGGUAACUCUCAAAAGGAUGAGUUUCUUUCUUCUUUUUACAAUAAUACCAUUGAUUCUUGAGAAUAAAAUAUGAGUAAUGGGGAUUUGGCUAUCACCAAACCCAACAAUCCUCCCAAGAAAAUAACCCAAAUUAAAAUUCAGGUUGGGGUAUUUUUUUCCCACUGAAUUACCAAUUUUUUUUUUUUAAAAAAAUACAGCUACCUAAUUUCACAAUUUCACAUUUAAUGGUCAAAGAUUGAUUGUGAUCUCAUUGUAUACUUUUCCUUUCAAAUCCGUUCAAAAAAGAGAAGAAAAGAUACUUUCUUAUAAAAAAACAUAUAAAAAGUUCUUUAGAGACUUGCCCAAGUUUGAUAAGUACCAGGACCGGUUCCCCUCGGGUUGUAAGCCAACUUGGGUUGUUCCAAGUCGGCUCCCAGAUUUUUUUACACUGCCUUGAAGUACACUACUCACGGGACUAAGUGUACCUAGAUAUUGUACUAUACGCUAUGGUUCCAAGGGAGUUUUACACUAUGCUCAUGCGGGAGGUGUACUGAUGCAUUCGGAAAUGCCAAAAUAUAUCCAUACCCAGAGCUAAAAAUAUAAUACUUGAGAUAUAAAUCGGGCUUGGGCUUGGGCUUGAGUGGUUAGCAGUUGAUAUUAGCAAUGUACUAUCUCAAGUUUGAUUCGUGUAUUGAUAUUGAUGGUGGAGAUUAACAUGCAUGUUUCUUAUUGGGAACUCUCUUCAAUUCUACCGUCCGUCCUUUAUAUGUAGGGAAAGUAUGGAAUCAGACCAUUUACUUUUGAUACAGAUGGUCACAUUAAUCAUGACCAUUGGAUGUGAAAUCGGAUGGCUGCAAUUACUCUAUUGACCAAGCUCGAACUUAUGACCACCUUGUAGCAAAGGUAAAUGAUCUUAUUGUAUACAAUCCCUUAUAUAUACAUCUUGUAGUGGUAUGCAAUUAGUGCAUCCAUAGCAUACUUCAAAGGUUGUAUUGCACAUAAUUAUUGUUUGGGUGAGGUUUCCAGGGUUAUCAGUUGAUGUGCAUCCACCCUCUAAAAUCCAUCAAAAACAUGGAUUUUGGAUCCAAAAUUUUAGAGAUUGACAAUCUAGGUCAUAGUGAUCAUAGAUAUGAAUGGAAUUAACAUAUUCUAAAUUCAAAAGUAUUUUUUUUUUAAUUUAUAUAUGCCCUUUAUUUUAGAAUUUGGUCAAGAUCUUGUUUUUGAGGUCCAUCUUAAACAUGUAUGUCAAAUAAUCAGGGGAUGCAUGUGUCUCCUGACUCGUACAAUACUUUUCCUUCUAUUUUUUCAACUUGAAGAAUUUUGAAAAGGAAAAAUUUAUAUAGGUUAUAGCCUUCCACGAAGAAAUAACGUUACAAUAAUUUAUACUAUCUAUCUCAUUUAGACUAUAUAGUUUUGAUAUUAUCUAAGGAUUGUCUACAAAAAGACCAUUCAUCUUUUGUACAUGGAGGUCACAGUCAUUAUUAUUUCAAAAUAAGUGGUUGUAAGAAUAUCUUUGAAUAAACACAAAGUUCCCAAAAAAAAAAAAUUCUCGAACUUCGUGACUUGCCCCAAGCCAUCCAAUUUGAUAUCCAAUGAGUGAGAAUGAUUGUGACUUCCAUGUAUAAAAGAUGAUUUGUCUCUUUAUAAACAAUCCCUUAUCGAGAUUAGAAAGCAUGCAAAUUUUUGCCAUGGUCUCUUUCAAAUGGCGCUUUUGACGCAACAAAGCCAUCAUAUUUUGCAAACCUUUCAUGUGACCAUCAAAAUGCCCAUGUUUUGGCCCAUAACAUAGGCCUUUCCAAGUGUAUCAACGUUGAUUGAGUCCUUGUAUCAAAACCUCACUUUCUUAUAUUGUUUAUUUGGGAUUUGAUCCGUUUGCUCCCUAACAACCAGGCCAAGAGCUUGAACUCAAGUGAUGCCAAGGGUUCUCUAGGAAUAAAACCAAUUCACAUGCCAGGGACCUGCCCUAUGUGCAAUUGUGUCAUGCUAAGAUGCCCCCAAAUGUUGUUUGUUAACAAAAGGUGCCUUUGAAAUUUUUGUAUAAAAAAUGUCUUGGGUAAAGUAUGUACAUUAGGGCCAUCUAUUUCAUGAAAACAAGGGUCCUUUUUUGGAUUAGAUUUUAUAAACAAAUUCAUAUCAAUCAAGGGCAUAAUUGAUUAUUCAAAGAAAUGGAUGUUGUAUCUUGGGGCCAUCUAUUUCAUGAAAACAAGGGUCCAUUUUUGGAUUAGCUUUUAAAAACAAAUUCACAUCAAUUAGGGGCAUAAUAGAACAUUCAAAGAAAUUGAUGUUCGAGGUAAAUUUGGAGUUAAUUCUAGAAUUUAAAGGAUUUAAAGAAUUUAAUGGAUGUUUGAGUUGCACUAUUUCUCUCACCGCAGAAGGCAACCUCUUUUCCUUAUAGAGUGACCUGAAUUUCAUUCAUAAUCGAGGUUAGUCUCCAAGGAGUGGAUAAAGGAUUCCUACACCAUUUUACCACAUUAAAAGAGUCACACUCGACGAUAAUGUGGUUGUGUUCAUGGCCUAGCCUGAUCACUCCCUCCCCAAGCGCUUGAAGUGCAGCUUAAUUUAUUUCACAAAACACCAAAGAACCAUUGUAGGUAAAGAUAACUUGCCUGAGAUGAAUGCGACCGCUACCCUCAAUGCUGGUUUCCCAAUCCUGCGGUUUGAGACUGCCAUCAAAGUUAAGUUUGAACCAUUUAAUGGCGGGAGGGGACCAGAAAUCUUAUUUGAGUUAAUUUUUUGGUCUAUACAGAAGCAUCUCAAAAAAUCGAGACUAAAAAAUAUCAUUCGGGUAGCACCUCAGCUUCAGCAGAGAGUAUGCCCAUUGUACAACCCCGCACAUGAUCUAAUCUAUAAUGCAAUAGAUGCCUCUUGACACCCCUUCAAAAAUUCUCGAGCUUUUUUCCUUUAAUAGAAACGAUAGUAUGAAAACACCAUAAUACUCCACAAUUGUAUACCCAUCUAAGGGAAAGGAGGUUAGUAGAUCAAAUGGAAGAAUCCAGGGAUCUUUUAAGGCAUGAUCCACUUCGAAUUAGAGAUUCCAAGUAAAUAUUAAGUUUUUGCUGUUGUGAAUCAAUCAGAUGAGGAGUAUAUUUAUGUGACCCGGAAAUACUUCACUCUUUUUUCGUGACUCAAAAGUUAUAUCAAUGUUCUAAAAUUUAUAAUGAGGUUGAACAACUAACGUGUAUAAUUCUAUGGCAUUUUAUCACGAAUCCUGGUAUGAGUAGGCCAGUUCAGCGCGGACAACGAGGUCAGGUGACGUGCGUUGCGUUGCGUUGCGUUGCGUUGCGUUGCGUGGGGUAGGUAGGUAGGUAUAGACCGCGUAUCUCUUCAACGUAGCUGUUCAGCGUCAAAUACGAAUUCGAAAACAACGCGUGUUACAGCCGUCCUGUAAAUUGGAAAGAAACAACGGGCCAUAUGCCUUUUAGCUUCUCUUGCUUUCUCUCUCUACAAAUACCAACGCACUCUUCACGCCACGCCUCAUCCAAUAGACUUUCUCUCUCUACCCUAAGGUCUCCCAUCUUCUUCACCUGAAGACUCUCAACAUCUCUCUGCACAAAACCAUACCAACGGUUGCUAUGGCCUCUCAAAAGCUCUCCGUUUUUGUUUUUCUUUUGGUUGUCGUGGCUUCGUUGCCUGCAAUUUUUGCACAGGAAAGUGCGGAGGCUCCCGCACCAAUGGAGAACGGUUCGAGCUUCGUGAUCCCGGCUUUUCGAGCUAUUGUUUCAGCUUCUCUCCUCCCCUUCUUGGCACUCUUGGCUCAUUAGUUCCUUGGUGCGAUUUUCACUGUUGAUUUGAGAUGGGUUUUCAUCUCUGAUAGACUUAUGGUUUUUUCAGAUGGAUCUCCUUCUCCCAAUUCAUAUGGGAUGAAAAUUUAUGUGAUUCUUAUUCCCUUGUUUGGGUCAAGGGAUAUUCAUUAUUCAUUGUUGUAAAAUUUGAUGAAGUAAAUAAAUGGAAGCUCUUUGUGAUUUACAUUUUUUUAGUUAUAAUAAUGAUGGACUUAUUAACAUUUUUAAAGUCGAAAGUUUGUUGUUGGGAGCGUUUCAAUCGCCCGUGAUUUCCGAUCCGGAUGCAAUCAGCUUAAUGGAAGCGGCUCUCGGUUGGUACGAUUCCUGGCUUAGUUUCUCCCUAGAGCUUCACUAUUCUUAAAAUAAAAGAAAAUUCAAGUAUAGAAUUUUUUUUUUUUUUUUGUUAUCAAAAUGAUUUAAAAAUAAGAAAAAAAAUUAUAUAACGUUGCAACCUUUUCUCUACAGCUAUUGAUGCACCUAAAAAAUCACCCUAAGGGCAUAUAUAAAGCAAGGUUUAAAAAUAUGGUUCGGUGACUCGGAGCAUCCCUCCUAAAAAAUUGGUCUUGAUUGGCGGAUAUAUGGGUCGGUUCAAAACGGACCAGUUCAUGGGUGAACUUGCCGAUUUCCGAUAUUUAGCGGGAUCAUAAUAAGCCUGAUCGAUUCUCAAUCAAAGUCGGCCGGAGCAUAAACUUUGAACUCAAACAAUUAUGGAAAGACGGGAGAAGUCCAUACAUUCUUGAACACCAUGGUUUUCUUGGAUAGUCGACAUGCACUCAUUUAAUUGAAAAAAAAGAAAAGAAAGGAAAAACCAAAUUAAAGUAUAAAAAAAAUAAUAGAAAUAACACUUUCAAAAUUUAUAUUAGUGUGAGGCUCUAAACAAUCAACUUAGGGCGCACAUAAAAAUUUUAACUAGAAGUGGUUGUUUUGAUGCUCAAAUAUCCUCAAAUUGAUCAUCUCAACCUCAAAAUGCAUGGACAUAAGAAAAAAAUGGAUUUCAAGCUUUGAAAAUAGUGCAUUUGUAAUGUAUUUUUGGAUCAUCAAGUUUCAAGAUUUUCAACUUUUCAUAGAUCUACUUGUUCUACACUAUUUUUGAAGCUUAAAUUUUUACAAUUAGAUAUAAAAAUAUAUUUUAAGGCUAUCACAAAGAUUUCUAGAACUGAAACCACAUUUAUCGACAUUAUUUGAAAGUGUGCUCUACUUUGAUUGUUUAGAGCCUCGGCUUUAUACAAACCGCACCCUUCAAAAAUAAUAUAAAACGGUAGAAGAUAGAAUUUAGGAAAAGUUAUUUAUAGUUGACAAUAAUUAAAAAUUUCUAAAAGAGGGAGAAAUAUAAAUUUUAAUAAUAUAAAACGGUAAAAGAUAGAAUUUAGAAAAAAUUAUUUAUAGUUGACAAUAAUUAAAAAUUUCUAAAAGAGGGAGACAUAUAAAAACUUUAUAUUUAUGACAUCUAAGCGCGAUAUAAGCCAUAGACGAGAGCUAUAUGGUGCUUUCCCUCUUAAAAAUAAAAAAAGUGAGCCUUAGAAACGGUCAGACUAAUUAAAAUCGACUACAAAGAACUAAAGAAUGCAAGAUAACCGUCAAAGCUUUUUUCUACUUAAUUGAAGCUACAUGAAUCUUAAUCUAUUAUUAUGUUCUAUUAAAGGUCAUAUUUUGAGUGAGGCUGUAAAGUUCUAUAUCUUUUUUCACUACUUCCAACCAUGUCAUUUUAGUUCAAUUCCUUACCAUUUUUUAGCAAUCCACUUUAAUUAACUCGCACCUUCUAACAAGUGUUGUAUUAGAUCUGCACCACAUAUGACCAGCCCACUUGAGUCUACUCUCUCUCCUCUUAUCAUCUAUUGGUGCCACACCUAAAUUUAUCUGGUGUUCAUUUCAAAUUCAAUCUUUUAUUGUCUUGCCACUCAUUAAUCUCAACAUCAUCAUCACCGCUACACUCAUUCUAUGAUAAUAUUGUUUUUUUUUACCGCUCAACAUUCUGCACCUUUGAGUAAAGUUGGUCUGACAAUUGCUAUAUUAGAACUUGUUCUUCAGCUUCAUUGAUAUAAAGUGAUUACAUAAAAUUCUGAUCACACAUCUCCACUUUGCUCACCUAGUUCUAAUUCUAUAUGAGAUAUAUUCCUCAAUGUCUAUUAUCGACCCAAGAUAGACCCAAGAUAUCGAAAGUAUGGUAAUUUCUCAUUGUUAAUCUUAACUACUUCCUCGUCUUUACUAAACUUGCAUUCCAUAUACUAUAUCUUAUUCCAACAAAUUUUAAAACCUUUAAAUUCUAGAACAAAUUACAACGGAUACUUUUGGGGGGUUUAAUUAUCGUUUGAUGAUAUUGUUGUUAUAAAUUGCAAGUAACCCCCCCCUAUUUCGCGGGUAUUUUUUUUUCUUAGUUGCCCUCCUGUCCGACAAUGACAACACCAGAUAGGAAGGCCAAUUUCAAACGCAAAGAGCAUACUCUCUAGAAUCCCUCAAAACCCUAUCUGCCCUUUCUUCUCAUCAUUUCUCUUCUCUCUCUCGCUUUUCUUUCCUCUCUCUCUACAACCCAGAGCCCUCUCUCUCCGCAGAGCAACCAUUUGAAGCUCCACAUAUGGUAUGUAAUUAGUUUUACAUUCUAAAACAUCCCUCUGAAAGUUUAAUUUUAUAUUGAUAAGGGUGAGGAUUUUAAAUAGUUUCUUAACCCAUCUUAAGUCCAGGGCAAAGAGGUAAGUUAAGACCAAUGCAUAAAAUUUUGCCAUGCUUAUCACGAAACCUUGCAUAAUUAGGCCGGUUCAACAUGGAGAAAGGAGUUGUUGGGUGUCAAAUACGAAUAAAAAAACAACGCAUGUAAGAGCUGCCCCUUCCAACUACAAAAUGGAAAGAAACAACCUGGUCAUACAACGUGGUAUGCCUUUUACCUUCUCUUGCUUUCUCUCUCUAUGAAUACCAAUGCACUCUUCACGCCCCGCCCUCAUCCAAAAGACUUUCUCUCUCUACCCUAAGGUAUCCAAUCUUCUUCACCUGAAGAGUCUCAACAUCUCUCUGCACAAAACCCUUCAUUUUCUCUCUCUACUAAGCAAAUACCAUCAGGUGCUAUGGCCUCCCAAAAGCUCUCUGUUUUUGCUUUUCUUUUGGUUGUGGUGGCUUCUUUGCCUGCAAGUUUUGCACAGGAAAGUGCAGAGGCUCCCUUGCCGAUGGAGAACCGUUCGAGCUUCCAGAUCCCGGCUCUUGGAGCUAUUGUUUCAGCUUCUCUCCUCUCCUUCUUGACACUCUUGGCUCAUUAGUUCAAUGGGGGAAUUCGCACUGGUGAUUUGAGAUGGGUUUUUCAAUCUCUCUACCCUUUAGUGAUGAACUUUUCGUUGCGUUGUUUGAGAUGGAUCUCCUUCUCCCAAUUCAUUUUGGAUGAAAAUUUUGGUGAUUCUUUACCUGGGUUCUCUUGUUUGGGUCUAGGGGUAUUGAUUAUUCAUUGCUGUAAAAUUUGAUUCAGUAAAUAAAUGGAAGCUCUUGUGCUUUAUAUUUUUUUAGUUAUAAUGAAGAUGGCCACUUUGGCUCAUACUAAAUGACAUUUUUCCCUUUCGCUUAGAGAUGUAGUUAAAGUAGAGGCCCAAGUCAGCAAAUGUCCACAAGGUAAUCACCCCAAAGGGCGUAUAUAAAUCAAUAACACAGUUUGGUGACCAAAAAUUGGCUUUCAUUGGCAGAUUGGUGGUUCGGAUUAACGAUCUGGCCCAUUGAACCAGCGAAUAAAUAAAAAUAAAAAUUAAGAAAUGAAUAAUUUAAAAUUAUUUAAAAAAUAAAAGGAUAUGAGAUAUCCCGAUUUGCUUUAAAGACUAAUUACGUUAUCCUGGUUUUACAAAACAUCUUAGCAUGUCACAAUUGCACAAGGGGCAGGUCCCUACUCUUAUUUUUUAGAGAAAAAAAUAUGAGUACGGUAAUUUGGCUAUCACCAAACCCAACAAGACGCCCCCAAUGUUAUUUGUUGACAAAAGGUGCCUUUGAAUUUUUGCAUAAAAAAUAUGUCUUGGGUAAAGUAUGUAUCUUAGGGUCAUCCAUUUCAUGAAAUAACAAGGGUCCAUUUUUGGACCCCUUUAGUUUUUAUAAACAAAUUCACAUCAAUUAGGGGCAUAAUGGAACAUUCAAAUAAAUGGAUGUUUGAGGUAAAUUUGGGGUUAAUUCUAAAAUUUAGAAGAUUUCUUAUUUCUUUCUCCCCAAAAUUAUUCAAUUUUGUGAAGAAGGAAAUACACAACCGGUGUACAAGACCUGUGGAUCUAUCGUCUCCUCUCCUCUUCUUAUGGAAACUAUAAUCCCUAAUCGCCUUCUGAUAUGGUUAAUAUUAAGUUCUUGUUAUUAUGAAUCAGCAGAUGUCGAGUAUGUUUAUGUUUUCUGGUAGUACUUCUCUUUUUUUUUUUUAGUUGCUCAAUGUUGUAUUAAUGUUCUGCAACUUAAAAUCGGGUUUUGGAUCACCCCGUCAAGGUACCGAUCAGGACGAUUGGCAGCGAAAAAUUAGUUCAAUAAUACUCAAAAACAAGUUGGGGGAUUUGGGACAGGGGCUCGAAAUGCCCACACAUGAAUCGAAUCUGAAUCGGCGAUUCCAGAUGUAGAUCACGAGUUUUAACACUGUUUCAAUGAUAUGCUCUAUCUUUGAAAAGAAAACAAGAAUGUAACACAGUUUCUAAUAGGUACAUAUUUUCCUGGUUAUGUAAGUGUUAGAUGGUAUAUGUGACCAUGAAAAGAGGAAAAUUAAACGUGAAAACUAACUCGGAUGGUCCAUGGUGUACAGGUCAUAUACUAAUAUUAUAUGGCAUUCUUGCUUAUAAAAAAUGUUAUAUGGCAUGCUUGUUUAUUAAAAAAAUCAUAUUUAUGAAGUUAAAUAUGCCAUGGACAAGAGUUUUAUAGCUUGCUUACCCUCUUAGAAAUCUAAAAAAUAACCAGAAACGGCCUUCAAAACUCCAAAGAGAGAGAGCUAAGGAAAGAAAGAUAACUAGGCAUAUUAGUCUAACAAGGGUCAUUAUCAUCGUCAAAAUUUUUUUUUUUUUGACUAAUUAAGGCCGGUUACACUAAUCCUGAUUCGUCAUUAUGCUCUAUUAAGUGUUGUAUCCUCAAUGAAGCUAUAAAGCUUCUUAUGUUUUUUUUUACUACUUUUAACCAUGUCAUUUUGAGCCAUACCCUUUGUCUUUUUUCAGCCUUCCACUUUAACUAAUUCGUAAAUCCUAACAUGUGUUGUACUGGGUUUGUGCCACACUUGGUCAGUCCAUCUAAGUCUACUAUCUCAUAUCUUAUGGCUUAUUGGUGCCACACCUAAAAAUUCUCGAAUGUAUUCACUUCAAAUUCUAUCCUUUAUUAUCUUGCCACUCAUCAAUUUCAACAUCCUCAUAUCUAUUGCACUCAUUUUAUAGAUAUAUUGUUUUUUAACUGCAAAACAAUCCGCCCCAUAAAGCAACGCUAGUCUCGUAACCAUCUUAUAUGACAUAAAAUUUCUGUUGUACCUCUCCACUUCGUCCACCUAGUUAUAGUUCUAUACACGACAUUUCCUUCAAUUUCUCUAUUUUUUUGGAUUAUCAAUCCAAGAUAUCAAAAGUGCAUUCUUUCUGGUAAUUCCUUGUUGUCAAUGUUAACUACUUCUUCGUCUUUACUCCAAUUAUUAUUAAAAUUUCUUUCAAUAUAAUCCGUCUUAGUCCAUCAAAUUUUAAAACUUUUACAAUGUAGAAUAUCCUCUAAUUUUUCUCUUUAAGACAUCCUGUAGCAGAUAAAGCAAGUGUGUUGUGUUAGGUUGACAAUCAACGCAUUAAACUUGUUCACAUUUUAUAAUGAAUCCCCCCCUGUAGCUAGUAGCUAGGCCAAUUCAAAUCUGUUGAGUGUCAAAUACGAAUCUGAAAAACCUAGUCAAACAGAAGUUUCCAAAGAAAAAAAAAAAAGGACCUGGUCAUACAGCGCGACAUACAUCACCCAUAUGCCACCUUCCUUCUCUACUGCUUUCCCUCUCUAUAAAUACAGGACACGCCUUCAUGCCCUCAUCCAAAGGAGUUUCUCUCACUACCCAAAACAUCCCAUCUUCUUCAUCAGAAGCCCAACAUCUCUCUAUACAAAACCCUUCAUUCUCUCUCUUUAAAAAGAAAAUACCACCGGUUGUUAUGGCCUCUCAAAAGCUCUCUGCUUUUGCUUUUCUUUUGGUUGUGCUGGCUUCGUUUCCUGCAAUUUUUGCACAGGAAAGUGCAGAGGGUCCAUCUCCAAUGGAGAACAGAUCGAGCUUCGUGAUCCCGGCUCUUGGAGCUAUUAUUUCAGCUUCUCUCCUCUCUUUCUUGACACUCUUGGCUCAUUAGUUCCAUCGGGGAAUUUGCACUGGUGAUUUGAGAUGGGGUUUUCAAUCUCUCUACCCUUUAGUGAUGAAGUUUUCGUUAUUUGAGAUGGAUCUCCUUCUCCCAAUUCAUUUUGGAUGAAAAUUUAUGUGACUCUUUACCCUGGAUUCUCUUGUUUGGGUCUCAGGGUAUUGAUUAUUCAUUGUUGUAAAAUUUGAUGCAGUAAAUAAAUGGAAGCUCUUGUGCUUUAUAUUUUCUUAGUUGCAUAAUGAUGGCUUUAUUAACAUUUUAAAAGUUACGCAAUGGCACCCGAGUCAUCACUUUGUAGUUUUUAUUCUUACGGACACCACCCAACUUUCAACUUAAAAAAAAACCAACUCCAGAACUGUUUUAAAAAAAAUUAGUUAGGAUUUAUCUUGCCCACUGAAUUACCAAAAAAAAAAAAACAGUUGAGCUUUUGAUGGUGGGAGCGUUACAAACGCUAGUGAUUUUUGAUCUCGAUGGUCUCAAUCUGGAUCAAAGCGGUUCUAAGAUGGUACAAGUCCAUGUUUAGUUUCUCCCUAAAAUUUCCUUAUAGAUGUGCAAAAAUAGAUGCCUCAAUUAAGUGGAAAAAAAUUAUGAUGAUGAUGAUGUGCAAAAGUAGAUAAAUAACCUUGUUCAAAGCUGUACGCUACCAAGGUACUUGAUAGACGUCGUGGUGUACACUCUAAGUGAAGUUUAAAUCGAAAGAUGCUUUAAUGAUAUGCAAAUAAUAUGUUUCUUGUGUUUUAUUUUGUUAUUUUGAAAUAAUGAUAGAAAUUGUUAGUAUUUUUUGUUUGAAAAAUGCUUGAAGUGUAUUUCAAAACAACAUAUUUGGUUUUAUUGUAAUUUCUUAAAAUUAUUUUGUAGAGAGAUAAAAAAGUGGAUAUUGAAAAUGAGCGAGUUUGUUUAGAUCUAUUUAAGAGUAUGCAUUUCUAUGCAAUAUACUCUAAGUACAAAAGUGUAGAAAUGCCUACGUCCACGGGAGAUGAGAGCUUCUUUACUGACAAUAGAGAAUAAGGAAUAGCUUUCUUCCUCUUGCCCUCCCUUGACUCUAAAAAACCUCAUUGCAACAAUAUAUAUCCGGAGUUGUUAUUUUGACUCUACAUUGACAAAUGUAUUUCCACAUAAUACAAGACAUCAAUCAUCAACACAAAAGAGAGAGAAGGCACAUGUGCCCACGUGAGAGUGAGAGGGUGUGGGCACAAAGAUGAGGCUUGUAACAUCAACCAUCAAGUGUAUUUAAUUUGUAGCUGUUGGGUUUAUAACAAGGGUUCUCCUACCCAUACGAGGUAGAACACUUUGAACAAUUCUUGAGCCUCUCUCAAUAGAAUGGGUUGCGUAUAUAUCAAGGGCUCUCCUACCCAUAUGAGUUAGAACACUUAGAACAAUUCUUGAGCUUCUCUCAAUAGAGUGGGUUAACUCUCUCUCAAUAGCGUGGGUUCCAAGCUCAGGUGCAUAGAUCUCAAAGACAUUGUAAAAGACAUAUCUGUUUUCUUUUAUCUCGAGGAUAAAUUGCCCUUCUUAUGCACGUCAAAUACUAUAUCCAGGGGAGGAAAAUAUCGACUAGAGAUAGCACUCUUGUGUGCCCGAAAACAAGAAAAGUUUGAGAUCUGAUUUUUGCAAAUCAUAUUAUUUUCUGCCUCCAUUUCACUUAACAAAUUUCCAACAUAUUUGAGCAUACAUGAAAUUGAUUUUUAAAAAUUCUGGAUUUUAAACAAUUCGGUUUUUCAAAAAUUGAAAAUGUGUAGUUUUGCCUUAAAAAAAAAAAAAAGCGCUACAAAGUUUAAAAAACAAGCAUGUGUGUAAGAACGGAAAGUUUCAAGUAUUUUCGUAAUAACAAAAAAUAAAACAGAUAUUUACAUAAUUUUCCCUAAGAAAAAUUAUUUAUAGAUGAAAAUAAUUCAAAAUUUCUAUAAAAGGGGAAAUAUUAAAAUAAAGCAAAUGAUAAAAUCAUUGAUAUUGUACAAGAACAUGGUUGUACAUUAAUUUACUAUAGAAAUAUAGUUUUUAAAAAUUUAUUUUUAUUUUUAAAAUUUAGAGUUUGUACACUAUUAAUGGGUGUGGGAAAACGCUGUCUAACAAAAACAAAUGGAAAAAAACUCAAAAAACAAAAACAAAAAAUAAAAAAAAAAAGAGAGGAAAAAAUGGUGACGACAAUAAAAAUUAAGGAUACAGUAACAGAGGUAGAACAAGUGGAUAUUUCAAUAACGACUAUUAUUUUUGUUCUUUUGAAAAGAAAUUAUAUGUUGUAAGGUAGCUUACCUUUGUUAUCAAAUGUAAAAUUUGAUAGCUUGAGGUGUGCCACAAAGUUUGGAAAAAAAAAUUUCUAGACUAUCAACCUAGUCAAUGAUACUUUUUCAAUUGCUCGAUUUAAUAUUUAACAACUGUGAGUGAUUGUGACCUUCGUGUGUCAAAAAAAAAAAAAUUUAUUGUACACUUCCCUUUUGAAAAUAAUGACACUUUAUUUGUCUUCUUUUAUUAUUAUUUUUACUAAUUAAAUUGUAUUGGAGCUUAAGGGGCUUAAGUCGUUCUUCAAGAAAGAGAAAUCUAUCAUUACCGAGAUAAAGCAUGAAUUAUUCAACACCUUACUCAUUUGUAAUUAUUCCAACUAUGAUCAAGUGUCUUUUGAUGAGUAUCUUAAAAUUAAAUAAAAAACUUAAGUACAAUAUUAGAUAGCUCAUCUCUUAUAAAUUGCUAAAUUUCCCUUAAAGAAAUCAACAACCAUUAUUGACCAUAUUGAUUGAUCUUUAGCCCCCUAGUGCUACCUUUUCAAUGUUACAGGGCAUGAGUGUUACAACUAAUAAUUUUAAAAAUAUGGAUCUGGAUCGGGAAUCACUUAUCCAAAUAAAAAAGAAAAAAAAAAGUGUAACCCAGCCUAUUAUGCUCCUAACCAAGAACCGGUUCGAUUUAGCCUAACCAAGAACCCGUUCAAUUUAGAAUGUUCUCUGCAGUUCCAUGCCCCAUGCAAUUUCACCUAUCCGGUUUUAUAGGAAGUUUUUAACUCUCUUGCCUCUUUGUAAAACUUAGAUUACUAUGAAGCUUGAUCUCUAUAUCUAAGAUCUUCCAGAUAGAUUAUCAAGCAAGUAUUCAAAAACUUCUAGAUAUUAAUAGUUCCAAUUUCUAGGGAGCUAGAACUUUUAGGUUCCAGGGAAUCCUUGGCUUCUAGUUACCAAAUGUGCCUUUCAAAUGGUGAUUCUUUUCUCUUUUUUUUUUAUAAGUCAGUAGGGGUGAAUUACCUCAUUCCUACCCAUUCUAUUUUUUUUCCCCAAAUUAAAAUGUUUAUUUUAUAUAUUUUUAGGCUGACUCCCACAUUGGAAAAUAGAUCUGAUUCUUCCCAAAUCAAUGAUCCUGAUCAAUCCAGUCCGUGAACACUCUAGCCACUUAAUCCUGGUAUUAAAUCACUUGUAGAGCAAUAGUUAUUCCAACAAAAAAUGACCAUCUUGUCAUAUCUAAAUGUAGAAUUAAGAUGAACCUCUAAAAUCCUUCGAAAAAAUUGUUUAGAUGUUAGAAAGACAUUUAAUUGAUCAUCUCAACAUCGACAUAUAUAUAUAUAUAUAUAUGUGAAAAAAAGAGAUUUUAAAGUCUUAAAAAUAAUACAACGUGCAAUACGUUAUUUAGACCGUUCAUUCCAAGAUUUUUAUGUGUUUAUAGAUCUGCUUGAUUUGAACUAUAUUUGGACUUUAAAAUUUGUAUUGUAUACUAUACGAUCAUUUAUUUUUAGUAUAAACAGGUCUCAAUCACUUUUAGCCAUUGGAUGUAAAAUCCAGUAGAAAUAAGUGCACAACAUUCGAAAAAUUCUAUUUUGGACUUUGUAUCCAAACAAUGAUACAUCUUCAACCACCUGAUUUCAAAUGUAACAGUCAACGAUGAUUGAGACCACUUUGUAUAAAAAAUAAAUAGACUUAUUAUAUACAUUUUUUUAAAAUUUUUUUAAUUAGAAAUAAAAAUAGAUUCUCACAAGGCCUAAAAAUUAUGAACAAGAAGAUUGUAUCUCUUAAUAAAGUUUGACAAAUCUUAAACUGAUCGUUUAAAAUUGCAAUCUUAUACAAACCGCACCAAAAAAAAAUAAAAAAAAAAAAAUAAUAGAGGGAGGGGAAAAUUGAGUAUGGCCCUUGGUAUGUGGAGUGUUAGAAGUUUUAGAAAGUCCAAAAUUGGAAUGUAAUAAUGAAGAAGCGCGUGCACCGACCGUGCAGCGAAGCAGCCAAAGAAAGAAACAGGCCACCUAGUCGUCGCACAUCACCCUCCUUCCCUUGUUUCUCUCUCUAUAAAAACCCACCACUCUCUCUCUCUCUCUAAACCUCACUACUCUUUCCCCCAACAUUACCAUUUCCACUCCAUCUCUCUCUAAACCCAGUAACACUUGCUGCCAUGGCGUCUGGAAAACUCUUCAUAUUUGCUUUUAUUCUCAUAGUGGUGGCUGCUUUGCCCACAAUUUUUGCACAGGAAGAAGCCAUGGCUCCGUCACCGUCAAUGGAGAGCGGUUCAAGCUUCGUAAUCCGGACUCUCGCAGCGAUAAUCUCCGCUUCUCUCCUCUCUUUCUUCUCGCUUUUGACUCUGUAGCUUUACAGACCCAAUUGCUGGGGUUUUGAUGUCGGCUUCUCUCUUUUCUCCACUUAUUUUUUUGAUGUGAUUCUUUUAUUUCGCCUUGUUUGGGGUAAGGUGCUGUUGUUCAGGGAUUUAUAGUUGGAUUCAUUAAUAAAGGGAUUAGAUGAGUUGUUUUCACUAUUAUGUGCCAAGGGUUUAUCUCUCUUGGGUCCCAAAAUUAUCUGUGCUCAUCCUUAAGAUUAAUUUAAGACAAGACUAAGUAAAAUCCUUCUUAGAAAUUGACUACAGACCCUUACAGGAAAAGAUGAAUCAAAGAUGUAAUAGAAAAAUAAUUAAGGUUUAUAUGCUCCUCUGACAGCACAUCAAUUUUUUUUUCUUUUUUUUGCUUUUUUUAAGGGUGAGGUUUGUAUAGAGUGUCAACCUUAUUUUAUUGAAAAGUAAGGUGCAUUUCAAAACUAUGCUAAAAAUAGAUAUUUUAUUGAAAAGUAAGGUGCAUUUCAAAACUAUGCUAAAAAUGCAUUUUCGACGCCGCAAAGCCUUGCAGUGAUAUGAAAAUCUAUUGUUGCCCCCAAUUAUAAAAUUUAAAUUCCAGAAAUGGUGACGAUCAAGUAGAUAAACACUUGAAAAUCUUUAAAAUGAAUGGACUAGAUAAUGUGUUAAAAGAUGAAUUAUUUUUAAGACUAAAAAUCCAUUUUUUUUCUAAAAAAAGCAGUUCAAUGAUUUUAUUGAGAAUAAAAAAGAGAUUACAACGUUAGAGCAAAUAACUGAAGACAGGGAAGUCCCCCCUCGAGCGAGAGACUCGGCGAAAACAUUCUCCUCGCGAUAGACAUGUACAAAAGAAAUAACAAGAGACUUAAAGAGGUCCCAAAUCUAUAGAAGGGAAGACCUAAGCUCCUAAAGAGGCUUAAGAACACCAUUACACCAAUUGAUAACAUUGAAAGAGUCCCCCUCCACAAUACAAUACCAACCAAUAUCUCUAUCAAUGAACAAUUUCAGACUAUUGAGGAGAGGAGAGCCAACAUCUCUGCUUGGUUGGCUGUAGCGAUCCCUAGCAGGCCUACAUAGGAAAAAUGACCAAUCCACUUGAGUCUCUCACCAAACCCCCAUAACCAGCCCCCCCUAGAUUCUCAAGAGAGCUCCUAUCAACGUUAAGUUUGAAGGUACUUUCCAAAAGGGGCACCCAUCUACCCUUCGGUCUAAACUUUUGGGAUCCCAGAAAAAAAAAGAUGGGAAGAUUUCUCUUCACAUCAACUUCUAAAAUAUCGGUCCCCUUCCUUAGUGAUGGAACAACAGCCAGAGAUCGUAAUUAGUUUUCUGUAAUAACCUUUUAAAAAAGGAGACUACAGUCAUCAAACACUCUUUGAUUCCUUUCUUUCCACACUUCCUACAUAUCAGGCCACGCGCAAUCUGCCACAGUGACAACCCAAACUUCUGUCUAUGAAUCUCGAGGUCAAUAAGAUCCGAGGGUUUUGCGGCUUAGGAAUAAUUUUUUCUAGUGGGUUUUUUAGGCGCACCUUACCAUAAGAUUUGGACCUUAAAUAAACUUUUUCCUUUUUUUAUUUUAAUCGUAUCAUUCAUUUACGCCUACGGAUAAAAUCCUCUUUUUUUUCCUCCGAAUUUUGGGGUGCAACCUCAAACUCGAGAUCAGCCUAAAAAAUAGUAAUUUUAACUCCCAUGGAUAAACCCUAUUUAGAGUUUAGGACCUCAAAUUUUGGGGUCUAACCUCCCCAAGCUAGCAACCAACCUCAAAGUGACAAGUACCAAAAAAAACUCCUAAAACAUAUAAAAAAGGAAACGGAAACACCAAUAUAUUGAUUAGAAAUAGCUUUUUGGAUGAUUUUCAUAGUUUUUUAGAUGAUUUUGGUACUUUUCAUAUAUAUAUAUAUAUAUAUUUUUUUUUAAUUUUUCUGAAAUAUUUCAUGUAUACUUAAAAGUCUUAAUAAUCCAUAUUUUUUGGAUUUUUUUCAUCUUCUUUGGUCUUCCAAUAUUCCUAUUAAGUUUUAAAAAUUUUCUUAUUUUUUAUUAUUUUUUAAAAAUUCAAACUAGUUUUUUCUUCUUCUUUUUUUUUUACUUUUUUACAUUUUAAUUGGUGUACAUAACUCACCGGAGUCCACUCGAACUCGAUGGUGUCCGAGUACAUUCGGCUUAGUUACUCGGCCAAUGACGAGUACUUUGGCCGAGAUGAUCUUUAACACAUGGCCUUAUCCCUCCCAACGAAUAAAUCCUCCUUAUUUUUACUUCGAACAAAAAGUGCAUCAGCCUUUUGGUAUAAAAAGAAAUAAAUAAAAUAAAUAAAAAUUGUAACAUCUCUCUCAUGGGUAUAAAAAGAAAUAAAUAAAAAUUGUAACAUCUCUCUUAUGGGUAUAAAAAGAAAUAAAUAAAAAUUGCAACAUCUCUUGGAAUGCCAUAUGCUAUACACCUCAGGUGUAUAUAGUAUUUUGUUUCCUAGACAGACAACGGCCUUAUUCAUUAGCUAGUAGAUACUCUUGAGUAUGCUUGAGAUGGGUAUGAUUCAGUUUGCAAAUUUUUCAUGCUGAUUUGAAAUUUUUAUCGAAUUUUGCUAGAGAAAAUAGUGAAAAUAGAUAAAAUAUUUCCUUUUUUUUUUUUUUUGAACGUUUACGGGAGUAAAAUAUCUUUUAGCUUGAAUAUAUGUACGCGAUCCUUAUUUAAAGAUAUUUAGAAAAGAGAAAAAUGACAAUUGAUGAGAUUUCUAAGAGAAGGGAAAAUAUCAUGUACCGGAAAAAAGUUUAUACGAAGGGAUUGUAUAUUAUGAGACCAUUUAUCUUUCUUACAAGGAGGUGACAAUUACUCCUAACCAUUAGAUACCAAAUUGGAGAACUUGGAGUGUGUUAUGAGGUUUGAGAUUUUUUUUUUGAACUUUGAGCUUAAUAAAUGACAUGUUGGCAACCACUUAAUUUGAAAUCUUAAGGAUAAAAAUGAUUGUAGCCUCUUUGUACUAAAAAUAUAUGUUCCCUUUGUAUACUUUUCCUUAAGGUUACAAUCUUAAAAUGCAGAAUUAAGGUACACCUCAAAAAUCCAUCAUACUAGGUUGUUUUGAUAUUGAAAAACCCUCUAAUUGACCAUCUUGAUAUCGAGAUUUAUGAAUAUGAAAAUAAAAAAAGAUUUCGAGUCCUAAAAAAAGUGCCUCUUACAACACGUUAUCUGGUCCAUCCAUUUUCAAGAUUUUCAAGUGUUUAUAAAUCUACCUGAUUUGAACCAUUUUUUAAGUUUACGAUUUUAUAAUUAGAGAUGAAAAUAGAUUCUCAAAUCAUCUCAAAAAAAUUUAACACCAAAAUUAUAUUAUAAUAAAAUUUGGAGGUGUGCCUUACACAAACCAUACCUUAUGUGUUUAGCAUUUUUGACUGUAAUAUAUUGGAUUUCCCAUCCAAUGGUUAACGAUGUGGCCUUCUUGUAACAUAAAUUUAUGUUCAAUGUAUAAAUCCCAUAUCUUAUUCAAAGAAAAGUACAUAACAAGGUCACCAACCCUUGCCGGAGGAGGUCACAAUAAUUGUGACCCCAAUAAUCCAAGGCUAUGUGCCUUGCAGAAUAUAAACGCUAUAUUUAAUAGAAAAAGUAUAUAUAAGAUCUUAACUUUAUAUUGUACAGGUAACGUGUACCUAAACAACCCACUAGUAAAGGUCGUUUCUAUGCUGGAAAACCUACUAGUAAAAGGUUGUUUCUUUGUUGGAAAAUCGUCAACUCGAUUAUUUGGGCCUCGAGAUUUUUAGACAUGAGAAAAAGGGUAUAUCUAAUCUUAAAAAUAGUUCAUCUUCUAACACAUUAUCUGGACUGUCUAUUUUUAUUAUAGAUAUGCUUGAUCGUCACAUUUUUUUAACUUCAAAUUUCAUAAUUGGGGGCACCAAUAGAUUUUCAUAUCAUUGCACGGCUUUGUGGCAUCGAAACUGCAUUUUCAGCUUAGUUUUGAGUUGCACCUUACUUCAAUAGUAUAAUGUUGAGACUUUAUACAAACCUCACCCAUAUUUAAUAUUUUUUAAUAUUUUUCGAUUAGUUGUAUAUAGUUGGUGUUGAAAUUCUUCGACAGCGAUGUAAGGUCCUAUUCUUGGUGGCAAGUUUUAAGGUUUAAUUAAAGAGUCGCAUUCACAUCAAAAUAAACAGCGCCCAAUCCAUGUAUGGUUUCCAUGCUAAAAUUAAAACACAUAAAGGGACACCCUAGGCCCUUGAUUUUCUUUUAAAGGAUGGGCCCUUGGCAUGGCUCUUGUCCUUGUCCUUGUCCUCAUAGGGCUGGCCCAGACCCCACCCUAGCCUCGGCACCAAGGUCGAGCUGGGCCAAAAGCAAAUUAAUAAAGAAAAAGAAAAAAGAGGGUGGUCUGGGGCGAACCGGGCCAACCACUGACCGUGGACAUGCCCUCGGGCCAUGGUUGUACGACCAGCCUAUUGCCCUGAUUUUUUUAAUAAUCCACCUUGUUAUUCCCUAAUGAUUUGGCGAGAGUAGAUUAGGUGUAGUUUGUACAUAGCUGACGCUCUAAAACAAUCAAAUUUGAGCCCACCUUCAAAUAGAGUCAAGAAAAGUAGUUUUAAUACUGGAAAUUUUUUACUAGCCUUAAACUAUAUUUUCAUCUUUAAUUAUAAAAUUUAAAGCUUAAAAAAUAGUGUAGAUCGAACAAAUAUAUGAAAACUCGAAUAAAUUAAAAAUUGAUGGUCAAAAAAUGAGUUACAAGAUGCGCUAUUUUCAAAACUUAAAAUCCAUUUUUUUUUCUCAAGUCCAUACACCUUCAUGUCGAGAUGAUCAAUUUGAGGAUAUUUGAGCAUCAAAACAACCUCCUUUAGUGAAAUUUUUGAGGUAGGCUCUAAUUUGAUUGUUUAGAGCCUAGGCUGUAUAUAAACUUUUCACAAAAAGGUCGCCCAUCCCCCUAAAUCAAACAAAAGCAACAUGUGACCUUUUUCUUUUUUAAAGGUUACACCAUGUAUAAUCAUAUGUUAAAAGCAAAAGGAAAUAUAUUAACGUUAGAGCUUGCCAAUUCAAAAGUUAAAAUAAGAGAAAGCAAGUAGCCCUAAAAUUAGAGGCUAAUCUACUCAUACAACAGAGUGGCAGAUGCCACCAACAAUCACCACCUCCUUCCCCUCUUUCUCUCUCUAUAAAUACCCAACACAUUCUCCUUUCUUCAUCAAACUCUCAAGACUCUUUCUCUCUCUACUGUCUCUUCUCUCUCUCUGACCAAGCCUAGUUGCUGCCAUGGCAUCUAAGAAGCUCUCAGUUUUUGCUUUUAUUUUGAUUGUGGUGGCUGCUUUGCCUGCAAUUUUUGCACAGGAAGGUGGAUUGGCUCCCUCACCGUCAAUGGAGAGCGGAUCGAGCUUUGUGAUUCCGGCUCUUGGAGCUAUCAUCCCAGCUUCUCUCCUCUCCUUCUUGGCUCUCUUGGCUCAGUAGCAUCAUAUAGACAUAAACCCAAUUGCCAGAUUUUUACAGUUGUGUUUGAGAUGGGUUUUCUUCUCUCUGUAUUUUUUCUUGGGUGAAAUCUUGAUAUGAUUUUUUGGGGGAUGCUUUGAAGAGCUACGAUUCGUUGAUGUAUAAAUAGUUUGAUUCAUUAAUGAAGUAAAUCAUUUUGUUUUAUUUGUUGAAUAUAUCAUGGGGCACUACUUCUCCGGACAAUUUCAAAUUCAGCACAUUUCUACCCCUUCGGUUAAAAGACCUAUUCGGAAAAAAAUUUUAAAUAUGAAAUUUUGGGAACCACAAGAAUUAUUAGGCGAUUAUUCUCAUUAAUAAAAUAAAAUUAGAGUUUUUUAACACUUAGAUCUCUAUCAUCUAAAAAUUGGAUGGUCUCUAUUCAGUCUCCGUACAUUGUUUUUUUAAAGUGCAUAGAUAAUACAAUUAGAAAUUCUUUUUUAUUGAAUAUAGGGGUUGAAGAAGUUACAUCCCUGAAAUUUGACAUCCUGAAAUUAAUCCUAAAUAGGAUUUUUUCUGAGAGAAUAAAUAAAAAUUCAGCUCUUUUGGCUAUCAAAUUUAAUUCUUUAACGCCUUUGUCUUUCAAAUUUAAUUCUUUAAUUCCUUAGUCUCUUAAUGCCCACCCUUGCUCGCCCACUUUUAUGUCUAAUAGAAACAAAAUUCAAGCAAGAUAAAAAAAUUUAAAAUUUCUUUAAUACCAUCUUUCGUUCUAGUGGGAUGACAAGUGGGAUGACAAUUUGACAUCAUGAGUUGCGAAACAACAUUGGUCGGAAUUGGUUGGACUAAAUUUUAUAAAAAGAUAUAAGCAAAAUAUAAUUUUAUAAAAAUAAAUAAAUAUAUACCAAAAAUGCUAGAAAGACAUUUGCCCACUCUUCUUAGCUGGCCCAGGACUAGAUUUUAGAAAAUAAAAAUAGUGAAACUAGUAGCUUUUAUUAAAAAUAAAGAAUAUCUUAAAAAUACUAAGUAGUUUCGAUAAGGCCGAGGCUGUAAACCAUCGAAGUGAGGCGCGCCUUCAAAUAGUGUCAAAAUAUUUUGUUUUAAUACUUGAAAUCUUUGUGAUGGCCUGAAAAUUUAUUUUCAUAUCUAAUUAUAAAAUUUAAAUUUUAAAAAAAUAGUGUAGAUCGAGUAGAUCUACGGAUGUUUGAAAAUUGACGGUCCAAAAACACAUUACAAGAUUCACUAUUUCCAAGACUUGAAAUCCAUUUUUUUGUCAUGCCCGUACAUCCUGAGGCUGAGAUGAUCAAUUUAAAGAAUUCUGGGCAUUGAAACAACCCCUUCUAAUGAAUUUUUGAGGUGCGCUUUAAUUUGAUUGUUUAGAGCCUCGCACUUAUAUAAAAUUUUUCCUAUUGUAAAAAAUAUUGACAACUUUUAUUAGCAUGUUAGAAAGAAUAAUUUUGACUUGCUUUCGAUCAAUCUAGUUUGUGCUUUGCACCAAUUUUAUCCAAUUUAAGCGACAAUUGUUCGUCUUUUAAAUUUCAAAAUGGGUAGUUGUAAGAGUGUCAGUGAAUAGAUACAAAGUUUUCAAAAAAAAAAAACUUUUAAACUUUGUGACUCACCCCAAUCCAUCUAAUUUGACGGGCUAAUAUGUGUAAAUGAUUGUGAUCUCCAUGUACAAAAGAUAAAUGGUACGGUUUGUAUAGAGCCAAGGCUCUAAACAAUCAAAGUAGAGCCCACUUUCAAACAGUGUCGAGAAAGGUAGUUUCAAAACUGGAAAUUUUUGUGAUAGCUUUAAAAUAUACUUUCAUCUCUAAUUAUAAAAUUUAAAGAUUAAAAAAUAGUGUAGAUAAAGCAUAUCAAUAAAAACUUGAAAAUCUUGAAAAUAGAUAUCUAAAAAUGCAUUACAAGAUCAUUAUUUUUGAAACUUGAAUUCCAUUUUUUCUCAUGUCUAUGCAUUUUGAUCUCGGGAUGAUCAAUUUGAAGAUAUCUAGGCAUCAAAACAACCUCUUUUAGUGAAAAUUUUGAAGUGCGCUCUAAUUUGAUUGUUUAGAGCCUCAGCUUUAUAUAAACUUUUUCCAAAGAUAAAUAGUCUAUUAAACAAUCCCAAAAAUUAAUGUGAUUUUUUUUCCUUUUAUGAAUGGGGCACAUUUUGGGGACUUGUGGUUCAUUGAUGUGUAAUUUACUUCAUUGAUAAAUGGAUUCUAAUUUUAUUUCUUGUACAGAUUAUUGUGCUAAACAUUUCUCUAUAUUACUGAGAGUAUCUACGGUCUCAAUAUAACUUGGGAUCUACUAGAAUAGAACCGCUCACUUUCACUCUCACUCUCUCACCCAUGAUAUAUAUAAUUUUUGUAAAUUAGCAUGUGGAAUAAUAACAACUUACUGGACCUUGAGGCCCAACAGUGACCUCGCAGGGCCUAAUGAGAAGAACUGAAGCCUCAUCUCAUAAUCUCGUCCAGAAAACACUUCUGGCAUGAGAAUCCCUUCUUGCAUAAAAAAUCCUUAUAAUGGCUUUAAAAUCUAUUUCUACUAGUAAUUAUGGAAUUUGUCGUUAAAAAAAUAGUUCAAAUCUCAUAGAUCUAUGGACACUUGAAAAUGGACGGUCUAAAUAACAUAUAUUAUUUUUCAGCUCGAAAUUAUAAUUUUCUUUACAUCCUCUAUAAUAAUCAAAGUUGAAAUGUUCGAUUUGAAAGUUUUAAAGUGUGCUAGAAUGCAACUUUUUAUGAGAUUUGGGACACAACUUUACUUAUUUCCAUUAGGCCUGGCCCAGGCCUUAUUUUAAUAUCAUGUUUGUAUGCAUACACGAAAUAUAUUAUACAUCACAUGUGAACAAUGUUGAUUUGUAUAGUGCCAUUUAUGAUAUCUAAACUAUUGAAUUCAAUUUUUCUUUAUUUUUUUUCUAAAACGUAGCACUUAGCACAAUUUGUAAUUGGGACAGAAAUAACAAUGUUGGGCAUGUGUGAAUGUGUUGCUCAUUUCGGUUUUAAAUGGGCUUCAACAGCUGAUGACACCAAUUUUUAUUGGGAAAGUAUAUAAUGAGAUCAUUUAUUUUUGGUAUAAGGUGGUCACAAUUAAUCUUGACUAUUGUAUAUGAAAUUGAGUGAUUGCAUUUAUUUCAUUGACCAAGCUCAAAGUUCAAACGAAUUUUUCUUGAACUUUGUGGCACAGCCAAACUAUCAAAUUUCACAUCAGAUGGUUGUAAGUAAUUGUAACCUCUUUGUACUAAAGAUUAAUGGUCUCAUUGAAUACAAUCCCUUUUUUAUUUGGCAUAAAAGUUUGAAACAAAGUCACAUCCAUUCAAAUGAGCGCAUAUACUAUGAGGGAGCAAUUAUUGUACACUUAGAAAACUAAUUUGGGAUGUUUGAUUUAAAAGUUUGAGAACCACCUACAAAUCACUACAUUAUUAUACUAAAAUUAUUUUUGGACUUUGAGUUUUCUAACACUUAGAUCUCAUUAUUUAAAAUUGAAUGUUUUCUAUUCAGUCUUGAUUUCAAGCCCAUAAAGAAAUGGGUAUGGAAUUCUUUUCAAUGAGCAUAGAAUAUGGGUUAGAGAGGUUAAGUCCCUGAAAUUUUAGGUCCUAAUUGGAUUUGCUUGAGAAGUAAAUGUACAAUAUGCUCAGUCGGGAGCAUGAAAUAUUUUGGCUCAAGAAAAGCCACUUUGAUUGCUUGGCAGUGAACCUACGUUUUCGCUCUCUCGGCCCGACGAUUGCUUAUCAAAGAGGGCAUCAAAAACCAUACCAUGCAUGAUUGCCAGAAUUUUAUUAAUAUGAAAUAUUUUGAUGUACCUAAAAUUAAUAGAAUUUGAGUUCUCUUAUAUCUUGACCUCCAAAAAUUGGAUGGCGUUGUUUGACAUUAUUUUUUUUAAGGGAAAAUUACAUAAAAAUCCGUUAUGCUUUGUGUUAUUACGGAUAUACCAAAUCGUUUCCGUUAUUACAUGUAUUAUCUUUUAUAAAGUAAUUUUUUAAAAAAGACCACUUUACCCUUUUUCGGAUGUUCAACAUCCGAAAAAAGGCCGAAAGUUAAACGUUAUAUUUCCUAUUUUCGGAUGUUGAACAUCCGAAAUUGAGGGAUUUUCGGAUGUUCAACAUCCGAAAAUACCCCGAUUGUUGAAUGUUAACUAUAACAUUUUCGAAUGUUGAACAUCCAAAUUUAAGAGAUUUUCGGAUGUUCAACAUCCAAAAAUACCCCGAUAGUUAAAUAAACCUUCGUCUUCUCUGUUUUCGGAUGUUGAACAUCCGAAAAUCUCUUAAAUUCAGAUGUUCAACGUCCGAAAUAUUAUACUUAACGUUAAACUAUCGGGGUAUUUUUCGGAUAUUGAACAUCCGAAAGCAUCCGAAAUAGGAAAUUUAACGUUUAACUUUAGGCCUAUUUUCGGAUGCACCAAUUCGGAUGUUCAACAUCCAAAAAUAUUAUACUUAACGUUAAACUAUCAGGGUAUUUUGGAUGUUGAACAUCGAAAAUUUUUUAAUUUCGGAUGUUUACCAUCUGAAAAUAGAAAAUUUAACGUUAAACUUUAGGCCUAUUUUCGGAUGCACCAAUUAGGAUGUUGAACAUCCGAAAAAAGGUAAAGUGGUCUUUUUAAAAAAUUGCAUUAUAAAAAAUAAAAAACGGACAUACAUGUAAUAACGGAUACUAUUUGGUAUAUCGAUAAUAACGCAAAGUAUAACAGAUUUUUAUCUAAUUUUUUUGAAGUACAUAGAGUGUGUGUUUGAAUUUUCAUUUAAAAAAAAUUGAAUUUUUCUUUCUUGAGGUUGGUCGCUUUGUUCAAAAGGUUAUAUGCUCGAAAUUACUCCGAGCUUAGGUUUUACCUAAGGGAAAAAAUGAGUAGUAUUCUCCCACAGGAUGUGUACAUGGUUAUCCACGGACCAAAUUGUACAUGUGGUCCCAUGGGCAAAGUGCCUUGUUAAGGGAUUCUACAUCCUUAAUUAGUCCUUACUAUGUUUUUCCUAAAAAAUAAACAAAAGGAAAUAAGGAAAAUUAUUUCAAAAAAGCACUGGAUCGUAAUGAAUUUUGAAGUAGAAAUUGAUUUGGAGCAUUUUUCAUGCACAUUAAUUUUAGAUCAUGGAUAGAGCUUUUUGGAAAGUUCUGGGGUCAAACAAGCUGAACCCAAUGCAGGAGUUAGUCAUGUGGGAAACCUAAUCUUUUUUUUAGAAAAGAAAGAAAAAGUUUAGAAUAAAGGGCACUAAUGGGAAAUAAAGAUUUUUUUAUUUUUUUUGAAUAAUUCAGUGGAGAAGACAUGCCUUUAUUUUUUCAUAUAAAUUAAGAAAUUUGCUUUUUUGAAAGUCUCAGUAGGUGAUGUCUACCACCAUGACUCGGCCCCUUCCCUGAGUUUCAUUCAUCAAAUAGGGUGUGAGCUAUUAAAAGGCCAAAAAGAAGUGGUACCAUGAAACAUCUUCGCCUACAAUUUUGUAAAAUGGGCAGUUGAAUUGAUAGCACUCUACUUUUCCCAACACCACCAAACAAUGUGUCACAUUAAAAACGCCGGAGAAGAUGGUGAUCUCUUUUUCCACUACCCUAGUAAUUACAAAAGGUUUUAAAACAGGAAAACAUGUUCUAAGUUGGUUAAAAGCAUUGUGCUAUUGAUUAGACUUAAAGUUAAAAAAAAAAAAUAAUUUAAACUUCGUGAGACACGUCGAGCCAUCCAAUUUUAAUAUUUAAUGGCUAAGAGUGAUUGUAACCUCCUUGAAACAAUGGUAAAUGGUCUAAUAUUAUGCAAUCCUAUCACGCUCAGUGUGUCUAUUAAAGUUUUUUUUAUGAACUUUCCGACAAACCUGAGCAACCUGAUUUUUCAUCUCACGGCUUCUCAACUUGCGGUUAAAGGUAUUAAAGAUACAAAACUCAAAACUUCAGGUUAAAUAAGAUGUAAGGGAGAUAGCACCAUAUUGAUAUGGAAAAACCAUAACAGCUUUGUUUUUUGGUACCCCAUUCUCAAUCUUGCUUUAGUACACUUGGCCAAUAACUUGGUGGGUCCAAUAUGUUAAAGGAAGUAAAGCACCGCCAUUUUCGCCCAAGAACAUGGUUCUCUGCUCUAGAGUUUACACUAGUCAGCUAACAAGAACAUAUCCUCCCUAUAUUAUGAUGAGUGUCACUCAUCAUAUCUAACGGUCAGGAUUGAUUGUGAUCUCCUCGUAACAAUGGUAAAUGGUCGCAUGUUAUAUAAUCUCAUUACACUCGAAGUCUAGGAAAGGUUUUUUUAUGAACUUGCUGCUCAUCUUAUGACUUAUCCCCUUGUGGUUAAGUUAUUAAAGAUACAAACCUCAAAAGAUUAGGUUAAAUUCUCACCUUGUGGUUAAGGUAUUAAAGAUACAAACCUUAGGUUUAGGUUAAAUAAGAUAUAAGGGAGAUGGCAGCAUGAUAGAUAUGAAAAAACCCAAACAGGUUUGUUUUUUCAUACCCCAUUUUCAAACAUGCUUUAGUACUCUUGGCCAGUAACUUGGUGGGUCCAAUAGGUUGUAAAAUCUUUUUUUCAUACUUUAAAAAAGGAAGUAAAACACCGCCAUUUACGCCAAAAAACAUGGUUCUCAGCCUUAAACUAGCCAACUAACAAGAACAUCUCCUCCCUGUACUAUGAUUAGUCCCACUCCACUCUCUUUUAUCAAUCUCUAUCAUAUCAAUAUAGACUGACAAACGAUCUAUGCUUUGUCCAUAGUCCAUUAAUUUACUCAAACUUUAAACCCAACUAAUUAUUUAGGUUCCCUAAAAUUUAUUGGGUAAUAUAUUAAGCAUGUAAAUACGACUCAUCCAAUCGCCCUUUUCAUGGCUAGUAAAGAUGCGGGUUAUUAUCUUCCUAAGAUUUUUUUUCUUUUUUGAAAUUGAUUGCAAAAUAAAUAAAAUAUGAUUAAAAAAAUUUCAUGUGAAAAAUCCCGUUCAAAUAUAUGUUUUGCCCGACACCACCCCACUAACACCUUAAAAAAAAACUAACUCUUAAACUAUUAAAAAAAAUGGGUAGGAGCCUGUCUUCCCCGCUGAAUUACUAAAAAAAAAAAAAAAUAUUUUACGUUAAUUUUUAAGUUUAUAAGAAAAUUUAUUGUAACACCUGAGUCACGAGGCGACCCCAAUUUUCAUCGAUUUACGAUAUUGAAACACAUUCUAAAUCGGGUGUGGUUUGUAUAGAGCCUAGGCUCUAAACAAUCAAAUUAAGCCUACUUUCAAAUAGUAUCGAGAAAUAUAGUUUCAAUGCUGAAAAUAUUUGUGACACCCUGAAAAUAUAUUUUCAUCUUUAUUUAUAAAGUUUAAAGCUUCAAAAAUAGUGUAGAUGGAUAGAUCUAUAAAAACUUGAAAAUCUUGAAAAUUGACGGUCCAAAAAUACGUUAUAAAAUGAAAUCAAUUUUUUCUCAUGUUCAUGCAUCUUGAUGUCGAGAUGAUCAAUAUGAGGAUAUUUGGGCAUCAAAGCAAGCUCUUCUAGUGAAAUUUUUGAUGUAGGGUCAAAUUUGAUUAUUUAUAGCCUCGGCUCUAUAUAAACUUUUCCCUUGUAAAUCAUUGGAAAUCCAUUCAUGUCUAUAAUCCACACACUUGCCACUCCAAAAAUAGUCGAUUGAUAUGUAUGGAAUUAAAAUAAAUAGAUGAAAAAAUAUAUUAAAAAAACAUUAUUUAAGGUUUCAAAUCUGUUUGUUGCUCAAACACAUGUAGAUUAACGGUCAAAACGAACUUUUUAGCCAUCUUUUUCAAUUUCAAAACAUUAAACCAUAUCUCUCUCUCUCUCUGUCUCUGUGUAGACUCACCAACAAGAAGCAAUCCAUGUGUAAGUUUGAACUAAGCCAUGGAUCUCCAGCCCCCCACCGACCAUUAUUAAGACAACCCACCAACACAAGAGCUGGGCCUCCACGUUCACACCCUCUCUCCCCCUAUAUAACGCUUAUCCCCCCAUUCCCUAUCAAACACACCUUGCUCUCUUCUCCCACUAAUUCCCCUGAUUCCAAAAGACUCAUCCACUCUCCAACCCUGAAUCAGGCAUGGCAUCUCACAAGCUCUCCUUCAUCGCUCUUCUUCUAAUUGUGGCCACUGCAGUUAGCGGACAGGAAGACGGGUUGGCUCCGGCAUUCGCUCCCUCACCCACGAUGAUAACUGGGUCGACCUCUGCAUUGCCGCCUCCUAUGGCAGUUCUAUGUGCUUCUCUCCUCUCUCUCUUUGCCAUUUUAUUUCACUAGGCUCUCUCUCAGUGCAUUGUGUUGCUGCUGAUGAGAUUGUUUUCGUGUGAGUUGUGGGGUUCCUUAUUGGGGUGGCGUUUUCUAUACAAAUAGUUGUAGUGUUUAAUGGGGUGGGGAGAAAGAGAUUACUAAUAACUAUUUAUCCUGGACAUUGGUGUGGGGAAAUAAUGAAUAUUUAUUGUUAUACCAAUGAAAAUAAAAUAAUGGGUUUUUACUUUGAGCUGUGAUCUUAUUCCUUUCCCGUCUUAUUUCUGUGGAGUGAGUUGUUUACAGAGAGAGAUCUUGAAAUAAGAGGCAUUAGACCGCAGCAUAACACAGGUGAGAGAGAGAGCCACUUUCAGUAAAUAAUUUAGUUCUACACGAGAGAGUAUACCAUAAUCCAAGGGCUCAUACAGUGAUUAUACACACCCACAGGGUCAUCACCACCCAAUGGAAUGGUGAAUGGUAAUAGACUGAAAUAUGCGACAUGCUCCAAUUUGUUGGAUGGUGAUGAUCCCUCGCCUCCAUGGUCUCUAGCCAGAUCUUCGUCCAUUUUUUUGUCGGAUGGUGAUGGACUAACUUUGCAUGGUCCAUUUGGAUUACUGUGUACCACCUCUCCAGCCAGUGACUGCAAAGGGUUCAGAUAUGAAGCUAGUGGCGUUGUCUUUCAAAAUAACGAAAUUUGUCAUAAGAGAUCCAUUCAACAUUUUACCAAAUAAUAACUAUUCCACUUAUGGUGGAUGGGCAUUUUGAAAUUAAAUUCAUGAGUAUCUUGAAAUUGAAUUAGUACGCAUGGGUCACCUCUCAUGGGUCUUUAGAUCAAUUUCUCACGCCAAAUAUUUGGAACCAUUUAGUAAAGAGAUUUGCCUUUAAUAAAAGAAGACUUGUUUUAUGCAGGCUGGACUGCAUUUCUACACUAUGCAGGCCAGAGGUGUAAAUAAAAGAAGACUUGUUUUAUGCGGGCUGGAUCGCAUUUCUACACUAUGUAACUAACGGUGCAUCUCUAAAAACAAUUGUAACUAAUGGUCCAAGUGUUUUUUUAAUAUAAUUAUUAUUUCUGAUUUUUUUAAAAAAGACUUAUUUCAUAUUCAUGAUGUCCAUAUUAAAUAUUAUAUAUUCUCUAAACAUUAAGAUCAAAUUAUAUUUUAAAAAAUAUUUACUGUAUUUCAACAAUAUGCAAGUUGGCCGCGUAAAAACCAUGUCCAAACAAAAAAUACAACUGAUCACCUAGACUUUGAGAUGUAUCGAUAUUUUAAAAAACAAUUUUAAGCCUUAAAUAUAAUGCAUCUUAAAAGAUGUAAUCUAAACCAUCCAAUUUCAAAAAAUUUAAAUGUUUCAAAAAAUUUAAAUGUUUAUAGAUCUGCUCAAUCUGUAUAAUCUUUUAAAACUUUAAAUUUCAUGACAGUAGUUUUUUAAGUCGUUGCAAGAGUUUUUGGCAGCUGACCUGCAUCUUUUAGUAAGAUUCAUAAGUACGCCUUACUUUAUUUAUUUUAAGUUUGACACCUUAUAUGAACCAAACCUAAAUUUAAAAUCAUAAUUUACUUUUCUUAAAUAAAAUCUCUCUAAUAAAUAAUAACUCGACCUAAAAUAGGUUACACACUCUCUGAAAAGGUAGGGGCAGAGCUUCAGCCCACAUGAUUGUGCGUCUGCUGAUACCAUUGAAAUAAGGAGGUGAGGUGAAUAAAUUAUUUUUUUGCCCCAUUCUCAAAGAACAGUUUCUUCUCUUUUCAAAGACAGAAAAUUUCUCUGACUGGUCCUGCAUCUGGUGCAUCUUCUGUUUUCUGUGUGCGCACGCGCACAUGCGCAUAUAUGGGUGAGAGAGCGAGAGAGAUAAAGAGCGCACUUCAGAGUAGGUAAACCACAUCAAAAGAAGCUUCUUUGUAUUUUACCAGUAAGGUGUAUCAAAAUGAAACCCUGUAUCAAAGUUAGAACACGUAAGACGUAUUGACUAUAGAAUGAGACUUGUUAUAAUGUUGAGAUAAAUAAGGUGUACUAAAUGCAGGGAAACUAUCUUUGGAGGGGGCUGUGCAUUUCUACAGCCUGGACGAGAGCCUGCAAAACCAUGUCCAUUUCUACAGCUUUGACAAGAGCCCACAAAACCAUGUUAGAAGCGUUUUUAAGACACUAAAUCUUGCACACAAUCGGAUUCACCACCACCACGCGCUAUUUGGUGAUAACUAUAAUAUACAAGUAAGAAAUAAAAAAAAAAAAAUGUUAGCAUAAGUUAGAGACAAAAUUUUGCCCCCAGAAUAGAGAGGGACCAUACAAAAAUGAGAGACCAAAAUUUAACACUUGGGCAAUUUAUGACUCACUAAUUACAAAAUUCUGACCCAAAGCUUCCUUUGCUAGAGCAUCUGCGUUUUGAGUUUGCUUCUCUCAACACAAGCCUAUAAGAGACUGUCAAAGAACAUUUGAGGUCCCAUAUCUGCUGAAAUUUUGGCUACCAGUUCCAUGGGUAGGGGAAGGCUUUCAAGACCCAUCUGAUUACUUUUUCAGAAUCCCCCAAUGAUGAGGGUGUGCCACCAUCUACGGCUGAACACCAGGGCCUGAGAUCUAGCCACGUACGUUUGCCAUCCUGAUCAGGCCUUUGAAAGGAAGGGCAAGUUGGACUGGUGAUCACGAAAAAUGCCUCCCACCAUUGCACAUCCAGGGAUGCCAAGAGGACACCUGUCAAAGUUAAGCUUGACAGCAUCUACUCUUGGUACUAGACAUAAACCAGACCUUUGGAUCAUCAUCAGUUUCGCUCAGAUGAUUUCGACCAUUGCUCUAGAAGUCAGCUGCUGACCAUCCCUGGCAUAGGGAUUGUUUCCAGCCCACAGAGUCACGAUGCCCAGGAUGUGGUCUUUGACACCAUCAGGGAGAGAGAGUUUCCUGUAAAAUAUCCCUCUAUUCCUUUCAAGACGUAUGUUCCAACACAGCGGUAACAUUGAAGCUCCCCAUAAAAAUUGGCCAGCAGCUGGGAAAGGGUAGUUAUAGUAGCCUGCAAAAGUUGAUGGAUUGAUUGGGGAGCCACCCAGAAUGAGUUGAAGCGUUGAAGAGUUGGGGCCCAAAUGCGGCAGGUGAAAGGACAAGAAUAAAAGGAUGGUCUAGGGACCCCUGUUUGAUACACAUGGAGCACGGAUUAGGCAAAUGGAUGAUGCCUCAGCAUUGCAGUUGAUCAACCAUCACCACCCUUCAUGAGCACCCUUCAUGAGAGUACUAGUCAAUUGAAUGCCCGGACUUUUGGGGUAGCACAGGGAAACAAGGCUCUUGAAAUAAAGAGUGCGGAGGCAGCCUGUAGGUUCGAUUGAGAUACAGCUUGGUAGAAGGGGAAACUGAAAAAAUACCCGAGGGAGAAGGUGAUCAAAUCAUCUGAUCAUUACCUGACCUUGGGAUGAAUUGACCAUCCAGGAGGCUGAGUGAAAGGAACUCUGGUAUCUUAGAAUUGAGAAGUGACGUUCAGAAUCCUGGUAACCAGACCAGGGUACCUCCGAUUACUUUAUAACCUAGAGCUACAGAGACAUCCUGGUUGGCUGCCAAAGAGAAAAGGUUAGGGUGGGAGUGAGACAGAGUAGCCUCCCCAACCCAAAGGUCUUUCCAAAACCUGAUUUGACCCGACUUAACCAUGAAACGAAUAUCUUGCCAGAAUCUGGAUUUGACCACUGAUUUAACCAUGAAUCGAAUAUGGGUAGUGAAAUCAACAAGCAAAGACGAGUCCUUGCCAAAGGCCUGAGGCUAACGCACUAGCUAACCCUCUCGAUGACAAACUCGAAUCAUCUAAACCAUACUUGUCUUCUUGGGUGACAAAAUGCCACCGCCAUUAACACAAAAGAGCUGCAUAUACAUUCCUUUAACUUUCUAACGACCAAGCCCCUUUACUUUUGGGUUGGCAAACAACAUCCCAAUUGACCAAGUCAAACUUGCAGAGGCUUUCUGCCCACAAUAGAAAAAAUCACCUCAUCAACCAUUCUAAGUGAUUGACCCUACAGUAUUGGCAUAUGAAACAGGGACAAUUGGAAGACUGGGAUAUUGACAAGUGUCGCUUUUAUGAGCUUGAUAUGCCCCCUAAAGUACCUACCCUUCCAGACACUAAGGGCCCUUUUGGGCGUUCCGGUGCAAUAGUGCAGUCCUAUGUACUUGUCAGGCAGUGAGCCACAACCAAAUCUCAAGGCCAAGACGGAGGUGGCCUUCGGCUCUAAACAAACCACAAACAGCAGUGUUUUUGCAUGUUCAGUUUAGAGCCUGUAGAGAUAUGAAAUUAUCUCAGAAGUAACCAGAUUUAUUGACUUGCUCUGCACUAGCAUCAACAAAUACCAAUGCAAUUGGCAUACUGCAAGUAGGAGAUAACAAGGAUCCAGGUGAUGAGACUUGGAACCUUCAAGCGAAUUGCAAUUGUAAAGUCCUGAGAUCCACCUGCUUAAAGACACCCACCAUGAUAUUAAAUAGGAAAGGUGAGAGCCCCUUGGCGGAGGCCUCUUCCCAUGGGGAAGAAGCCUUCUGAGGACCCAUUAAUAAGGACUGAGAACCAAAGGGAUGAGAUGCAACCUCGGAUCCGGGUUCUCCAUUUGCUUUUGCCUGCGUCACCAGGUCUAGUAGCCAACGGAUGUGGUCAAAGCCUUUUCCCAGUCUACUUUUGAGGACUAGGCCCAGAGUCUUUGAUUGAUAACCGGGUGGAUACAUUCAUGGGCUACAAGUGCUCCAUCAAGGAUUUACCAUCCUUGGACUAAAGCCCCAAACCAGGAAAAUUACACGGGGAGGACAAUUACACGGGGGAAGACCUUUUGUAGUCUCAAGGCUAAAUUCCCGGUCAAGACCUUGCAUGCACUGUUAAAGAGACCGAUCGACCUAAUUCAAUUUCUCGGCCUCUUCCACUUUCAGGACCACGGUUUGAAAGGUAGCAUUGAGGACCCUAUUGACAAUCCCCCUAUGGAAGAACUCAGCAAAGAAAGCACGAAUAUCAGGGGCAAGGUGGACCCAAAAAGUUUGGAAUAGAGUGACUGGGAAGUCAUCAGGCCCGGGAGCCUUAUCUUGGCAAAGUUCAUUGACAGCUUUCACAAUCUCAUCUACCGAAAAAGGUUAUCCAAGCCAAUCGGCCACAUCAUUAAGGAGGGAGAGGAAGGAGAGGUUGUUGAUUUUCGGCCUCUGCAUAGACUUGGCUUUCAAGAGCCUCCUGAAGUCCUUGACGAUUUUCCUUUCGAUAUAGAAAGGCUCUGUGUAGAAAUUUUUCCCCUUCUUUGAUAUGAUAGAUUGGGUUGGAUCUUCUACAGAAACUAGCUGUUUUAUGGAAAAAGCAAUUUUUCUGCAUCCAUGUUUGAGCCAGAUGAGUCUAGACCUUUGAUUGCCAUAGGCUUCUUCUCGUUUCAGCAGGAUACAACAUUCUGAUUUGGCCUUGAUGCCAUCAUCCCUUUCAAAUGGAGGGAGGACUCUAGAACCUUCUAAAAGAUCUAAGGCUGAGUAUAACAUGUAGCUCGACUUCCUUUUUCUCUUUUUUCUCUCUAAAAUUUCUUGGGUUCUGUUGGCUCCAUAGUUUCAGGCCAACUUUUGAGUAACAUUAGCUUUUUACUACGGUUAGAGCCAACCCAUCUAAUAACCUGAAAGGACAACAACUAAUUUGGGUUUUAGACAGUGUAAUUCAGGAUCUUCUAGCAGCCAAAUUUUGAAGCAUGACGUUUGGGGCAAGAGGAAGACCCCGAGGGGGGGGGGGGGCGGGGGGGGUUCUAGGACAACACCAACGUCUGAGAUAAGUUUAAGAAAAGAUCUUGUGUGCACCAGUGAAAGAGGUCUUCCCAGGGGGGGGGACCUCUAGGACAACAGCAACGUCUGAGAUAAGUUUAAGAAAAGAUCUCGUGUGCACCAGUGAAAGAGGUCUUCCCAUUCAGGAGAUAUCAAGAACUAACACUGUCUGAUGGUAGGGUUGUCUGUGUGGUUAGAACACAUAUGAAACAAGUAGUGGGAGGUCUAUCAGUUUGUUAAAGAGAAUAAGCUCAGAAAACCCCUCCAUGCGUGUGUGCUGUGUCCCACUCUGUUUUUCAGCAAACAACUAUUGGGACAUUAAUUCAAAAAUAAAAAACAAUAAUUAAAACUAUAACUCUGAUUUUUGCAAAAAUGAAGAAUCCAGAGUCAUAGUUGCAGCAGAAGCCGCCAUCCAACAAAACAGUUUAUGGCGCUUCAUCGUCGUUGUAGAAAAGAGUCUACAAGAGUGGCCCCAUUCAUAUAAAAUUUGCCCAUGAGGAUUUGUAAUCCUAGCCCUAGGAUUAACCAGAGUGUAAUUCCACAGAGAUUUGAAGACCAGUCCAUGACGACUCCUAAAACUUCAUGUGCCGUUAAUUGAGACAUUUAUUAGUUUCAUUUGUAAUUGGAACUAUAGUUACCGGAAGCACCCAUGUAGGGGUUCCGCUUCUGCCCCAGAAUCUCGAUCCCACGCUCCAAGUGACCGGAUCUCGAUUCCAGGCGCUUCCUUGCUUAUUCGGAUCUCGUAUCCGGAGUUAUGGGAACUUGAUUCCUAUUAUUUGGGAACAAGAUAACUAGCAAGCGGGAUCCAGAUUCGCAUGCCCAAUAUCAUUUGGAACAACGAUUACAUCAUACCAAGAACCAAGUAUCCUAUCCCAUGGGAGCGAGAUAUAAAGUUUACUUUAUUCGUAUAUAGUUGUAUCCAAUUUUAAAGAAAGGCAACUAGAGAAGGUAUAAGAUUGGAAGGAGGUUCAAAAGUUAGCCACAUUGCAAUUUUAUUGUGAAGUGAGGUCACGAUCAAUACACUUCAUUACGACACUUUUAUUGUGAAGUGAGGUCACGAUCAAUACACUUCAUUACGAUAAAAAGGAUGUGUUACACAAUCUGUUGAUGUGUUGCACAAUUGGUUAAUGGUGCAUUUCUAUCGAAAAAAGGUAAUAUUAUGUACAAGUCUCUGAGUACAGUUGGAAUGGGUUGCACAUUGUAAACUAUAAUUGUUUUGUAAUACUGAACUGAUCAUGUUGUGUCUGUGUACCAUCGUUAUGUGGACGUUUAUCAGCUCGAGUGAGAUAUGAACAAGUGAUAGUGGGUGUAUGGCCAUUGAUUGUGGCACGUACACUGUUCAUGCAGAAAGAAAACGAAUCCAAAUAAUGUUAAAGGACCUACAGCCUCGAACUCUAAGAAAUCACACCAUCUUAAAUACUCAAUGACUUUUCUCACCAUCUUCUAAAGUUAGUCACUUUAAUCCUAUAGGCAAAGAAGGGGUAAAAGAGAAAAAAAAUUCAACCAUAUUUUUCAUAAUCAUGUUUGGGAUCACAUUCUUGGGCAUUAGGGUUCAUUAGAACACAGCCUUGGUAGAAAAGAUGCAUAACCCAUAGUACUUCACUCCUCUAUCAAUUACCCCGCUUUUUCACCCACUCCCUCUAUCCACCCAAGAGCUCAUUAGUAACAUACCAAAAAAAAGGAACUCGCUCCCAGUUUGCUAUAUACUUGACGCAAUCCGGAAACCCCGAUCCUAAGAACGGCACAAUGCAAUCCCUUAUGAUAGGGAACCUGCUCUCGUCCAUAUAGAAAUGCACUCCCUAGAAAUCAUGGAACUCGUUCGCUUCCCCAAACCAUGUACGGAGCUCGCUCUACUGUCCUGGGAACUUCGAGAUAGACUCGCUCCGCGCUCCCGUUUCCAUUCCCGGAACUCCUCACAUUCCCAUUCCUAGUAACUAUAUUUGGAACCAUAAACACAUGUCCAUAGCAUUUCCUUAAAAGAUUAGCACAGUUCCACUAACAAAAAACUGCAUACCCUCAAUCUAGCCAAUAAGAAUCUGCAGAAGAACUUCUAUGUUAAGAAAAAUGGUCAAAUUUCCAUGUCUCCAAAUGAUAUGGACUACUCUGAAAUUGCAGACAGGCUUUCUCAAUACACCAUAGCUAAACUAAAUGAACAGACAAACUAAAUCUAAUACAAGUGGUAUUGUGCUCAUGUGAAAAGUACGCUCUUCUUAUGCAUAUAUUGAGUAUCAUAUCCUGCUUUCUAUAUGCAUUGGUGAAGAUUCUUUCCACAGCUUAAGGUUUCAUUACUCAAUGAUUAUAAUCUCUUCUCUUAUUAGUCGUAGGAGCAAAGGCACACAGGGGGAUAGGNNNNNNNNNNNNNNNNNNNNNNNNNNNNNNNNNNNNNNNNNNNNNNNNNNNNNNNNNNNNNNNNNNNNNNNNNNNNNNNNNNNNNNNNNNNNNNNNNNNNNNNNNNNNNNNNNNNNNNNNNNNNNNNNNNNNNNNNNNNNNNNNNNNNNNNNNNNNNNNNNNNNNNUACUCUUACUUCUUACGUUACUACUACGUAAUAUAUAUAUAUAUAUAUAAUACUAUAUAUAUAUAUAUAUAUAUAUAUAUAGUAGAUGGACCAAAACACUUCACUAAUUAUAAGAGAUUCCAUGAAUAUAAGGUUCCGCGACUUAGUUCUAUGAUUAUAAGACAUUCCAUGAAUAUAAGGUUUUGCGACUUAAAAGUUAAGGUUUGUAACCUCAUUGUGAAUUGAAAGUUAAGGUCACAGUGACACUCAAGUGCCUGACUAUUUUCAAGAUGCUAGCACAACCUAGGGUAAAAAAGUCAACAGUUUAUCCAAAGGCCUGGUCUCUCCAACCAUUUUCAGCCAAGUUCACAACAUGAUAUUCCUUAAAAAGGGUAAAAAGAAGGACAACUAAAAUCGAUAAGAGAGUACACAGUUUCUCCAAGCAAAUUUCUUAACAAGUGUCACUGUGGAGUCUAUAUCAAUGUUUACAUCUCCAGAGGUAUAAAAAGGCCAAAUAUGGAGGGCCUUAAAGGCUCAAUAAAAUAAAGGGAAAAUGUAUUGUAGACACAAAAAUUAGCAAGAGUCGUCUCUAGCUCAACACAAUCAGUGAAAAGAUCAGCCCAUGUUACAUAGAAACUUAACCCAAUAUUAGGUGGAGUUGAACUGAGCCAAAUCAAUUGACUCAUAUAUCUUUUGAUAUUAUGAUAUGCUCUGGAGGUUCCCUGAGGACUUACUAGAAUUUCACCAUGCCAAAGCAAAAUUGACCACACCCCCAAAACCAUGAAUAUUAGAGGCGAUCACGUAGAGUUAGAAAGAGAGAAUGCACCAGAGCUUCACAAAAUCCUCACAUUCACCGGUGCAAUAAACAAAGAAAAAUCCACGUUAUUUACUUCCUGCAUUUCGUGUAAAAGGAAGAGAGCAUAUUUUGAACCUUACAAACGGGUGGCAUUCCUUCUGCCAGGACUAUCUUGGAUAUCCCCGGGCAAUUCGUAAUGGAAAAUCGUCACAUCAUUCGUUCCUGUUUCCAUCCCCACAAAUCUUCUAAGGUAUUUCUGGCAACUAGGUGUACAAAUUGAGUAACGCAGAAUUAAAGGGCCAAAGAUGUCUGUGGAUCGUUGAACAGAACACAAAAUACAUAGGAAUACACCAUACAAUGUCUUACGUGAACUUUCACACGAAAUUUUCUAUAUUAUUUCAUAGAUGAAGAGCGUAUUCUAAUUUAGAAACUAAAAAAGUCAAAGGCCGAAAAGAUGACAUAUCAACAGUCAACAUAGGUGCCACAAUAUAAAGGACCACUCAGCAGUAAAAUAAGAUGACAAAUAAGGGAUCAUUAGUAGAAUCAAAAUACAACCAGAUUAUUUAUCAUAGUUACAACUUCACUUGUACAGGUAACCAAAAAAAAAGAAGAAGAAAAGAAACAGUUUCCUACAACAAGCUCUCAAUAUCACAUCCCUCAGAGAGAUAGCCAAAAAAACAAAUGCAUCAGCCAAUAAACUCUCCACAGUUUUAAACUGCUUUAUUCCAAUAAGUAGGUGAAUAUCCAAUACAAUAGAAAGACAAUAAAAACAGUCCCAUUACAACAAAGAAUGUAAAUAAACAUGGAGAACAAUGCUCCCUCAGGAAAUGUAUAAGCAUCUCCACUUUGUCACGGCACAGGCAAUCCAAGUCCCAACACCAAAAGCCUCAGUUAUAACCUAAGCCCCCCAAAAUUGAGAUUAUGAAUAUGACAAAAGAAACCCACAUUUUCAUUUGUUUCUUCUUGAAAAAAACCCCACAAUAUUAUCAAACCUAAAGGAACAAAAAAACCCAAAGUUGACAAAAUUGAAACAUCCAAAUGAUCCAAAAUUUGACUAAAUCAACAUAAAAAAUAGCCAUAUCAAUUUGUCCUUGCCACCUGCUGUUGAGUCAAUUGAGCCGAAUGAGCUUCCUCCAAUUUAGCCUUAUUCCUCUCUAAAGCAGCUGCCACCUCUUUAGGCAUAUACUUUUCAUCAUGCUUUGCGAGCACCUCUGUUCCAGCAAAAUAAUAAUCUCCCGUUCUUGCCUUCUCUGAAACACGAGCCCUACCAGACAAUUCCACCUGCUUAUCCUCAGGUGUAAAAGGACGAAUAUGCCCCUCAACGACAGCUGAAUGCCCCUCUCUAAAGAGAUCAGGCAAUGGGCCCUCAUACUUAACCAGAAUAUCAGUGAUCAAAUCAGUGAUCACAAACUCCAUUUCAGAAGAAGAAGGGGGGUGAACUACACUCCCUUCAAGAACGAGACCACCCAAUCGAAACUUGGUUUUUGACGGGUUAGCCGAGAAUUUUUCCAGCGCAUCACUUGGGGUAACAUAAAAGACCAUUUGGUCUUCAAAAUUGUAAAUGACAAUGACUAUGAAAGCUGCGACUCCACUGAAAGUCAGGGCAUAGGUCCAUAGCCUUCGGUUCUGUAACCGUCGUGCCCUAGCUCCAAUGUCUACCUUGCGAGGACGAGAGGGCUGCCGUCUUAGGGUUGCCAGGUAUCGGAGACCAGGUGUAGAGAACGGCUCCAAUGGAGUUUGGCGAGAUUGAAACCCUAAACCUACAGAAGUAACUGAUGGAGGAAUUCGAGUAGUUCGGGGGGUUAAGAAACGAGAAACGGAGGUUCGAAGAAGCCUAGAAGCAAAACGAUAGGUGAAAGCAGGCGCCAUGGAUAUGGAUUCGGAACCAAUCGAUCAGAAGAUCAUGGAAGUUAUCGAUUUUCAGGAAAUUAAAUUGGAAAAUUUCAGUGUAAAAGUUGAAUUCAGCUCUGAAAAUUUACUGCCAAAGUCUGUUAUUGAGAAGAGUUUCCAAUCUCACUCGAGAUGAGCAGACAAAAAGACACAACAAAAAACCCUAGAAUCCAAUUAAAAAAGUGUGGGAUUCAAAUGGAAACACAUAAAAUUGGAAAGUUUCAAUUUUGGACCGAAGAAUUUGAAUAAUCAGAAAAGAAGUUGAAAGCGAAAAGAGAGAUGAAAGUGAAGGUUUUCAGGUGAUGGGAAACCCUAGAAAUCAAUUUGAAUGGACUGAAAUCUUAGAUAUCAAUUUGAAAGUGGAAACAUGUAAGCAAAAUUCGCAUUCGAAGAUGGAGAUUCGAGACAUAAGCUUACCUAGAGCUUCUUAGAGAGAGCAAGAGAAAUGUGAAUUCUAGACUUUUUGAUUCUCGGUCUCGUGCUCCACUCCACAGAAAGAGAAAGAGGCACGACUCCAAAGAGAAAGAGAGAGGCACGAGGGUUCUAUGGUUUUUGGAUAUUCUAUGCUCCCUCAGGAACAUUGGUUUACUUCUACUCCCUCGGUCAAAUGACCUGCUGCUUGGGAGGAUUUUUUCCGGACUCAAAUUUUAGUAACACUUUAUAAUCAUUAGAUAAUUAUUCUUAAAACAAUACAUCUUUGUGUGAAACUAACAUAAAUUAAUCUUAUAAAUUGAAUUUGUCAUUGACGUAGCUCAAAAUUCCCCAACCUUGAGGCAUCACCCUUUGAGAUAUAUGUGACAUCUUUGUAUUAAAGGUAAAUGAUGUCAUAGUAUACAAUUUCUUAUUUUAAUUGUACAAAUACCCCCAUUUGAUCAGCACUAUUUUUUUUAGCUUAGAAAUUUAUGGGAAAGUAUAUAAUACCUUUGGUAUAAGAUGGUCACAAAUAAUCAUGACCAUUAGAUGUGAAAUUGGAUGGUUAUAUUUAUUUCAUUGAUCAAGCUCAAAGUUCAAAGCUCAAAGUAAUUGUGACCUUCUUGUACAAAAGGUAAAUGGUUUUAUUAUAUACCAUCCCAAAAUUUAUAUAUUUGGAGCAAAAAUAUAUUGAUAAUGGUUUAGACUUUAAAUGUUUUUGGAUACUUAAACCCUAAAAAAUCUGAGCUAAAUCAAUUAGAUUGACCAACUUCAAGGCCUAUAUCAUAGUUAUCAAGGACUAAUAAUAUAUCGACGAACCAAAACAUCGAUAAUAAAUCGAUUUUAUUUCAAAAAGUUAGAUGAAAAAAGCGGGUAAACAAUAAGGAUUGUCAAAAAAAAUAAGGUAAGUUAUAGAAUUGUGAAUAUUUCGGAUUUGGCUCAAAAAGUCGGAGUGAAAAAAUGGAUAUGUAAAACUGACAUAUUGUAUGGUUAUGAUUUAUAAUUACUAUAUAGAUAUAUCAAAGCUAUUGAACAAUGAUUUUAUGUUCUUACGUAGUGUCAUUAGAGUAAUAAAUAAACUCAAUAACAAUAUUUACUCUAUUGUCAUAACACAAAACAUAUCAUAAAUUUAUUGGAGAAUAAAAUGAAACAACAAAAAUAAUACUAAAUAUUAGGAUUACAUUAGUAAAUAACAAGACCAGUAGAGCAAAGUAUAGGAUUAUAGUUCAAAGAAGAAAACAAAAAAUACCACCAGUAUAAGAGUACAGUUAACUAAAACAAAACACAGAGAUCCAAAUAUGUAAACUAAUGGUCCAUUCAAAAUACAAUUUACAAUAAAAUAAAAUAUAAAAUAUAAAAUUAAUCAAAUUUCUCUAUGUAUAAAGACAGCAACAAAAUGCUUAAACAAAUUGAAAUCUCAUAUUGAAUUCCUAGCUGCCUAAACCUUUAGUAUCAUUAAAUCUCUCUCGUGCUAUUUAUAAAGAUGCUUUGGAUUUAAAAAAAUAUAUAUUUUUUAUUGGGUUACUCUUCUUCUAGUUCUACCUAUUAUUUUGAGAUAUACAAUUGUUUUGAUAUAUUAUUUUUUGGGUAGUAUAUUGCUUGUAUUUUCUCAUACAACUUUUCUAAGGGAACUUAUUGGUGAAGCUUGUCAUGAAAUUUUUUGUUAAAUAAAUAUUCUUAAUUUACUUGCAAGGUUAAUGUGGUUAUCUUUGAACAUAAUAACACUAAGUUUGUGAAGAAAUAAAGUUAUAGAAAGAAGUAUCUUAAAAACGUUUUUUUGAAAAAAGAUAAAAAAUAAGACCAUUUACCUUUGAUACAAGGUGGUCAUAUUAACCUUGACCAUUGGAUGUAAAAUUAGGUGGCUGCAAUUAUUCCAUUGACCAAACUCAAACUUCAAAAGAAAUUUUCUUGAAAAAUGUUGCACAACCAAGCUAUCAAAAUUCAUAUCAAAUGGUUGUAAGGAAUUGUGGCCACCUUAUAUCAAAGAUAAAUGGUUUCAUUGUAUACAAUUCCAUUAAAAAAACAUGAUAGUUUGAAGAUAUUUUGAAAAACUCAAGUUCUUAAUGGAAUUUGAAAAAUCGAAUAUUUUUUAAAAUUUUCAUAUUUUAAACGGAGACUUGCUAACUAUAGUUUAUAAAUAUUUUCCAAGAAAAACUAUACCUAGUUGCGAACAAUUUCUCUCAGGGACCGUAAGGUCCAUAAUUCAUUUUUUCCCAAAAUCAACACGAGAUUUUUUUUUUUUUGG
rnacentral:lncRNA from 1 species